AAAAUUCCAACACGUGGCUCUUAAUUCAGCGUCCUUUAUUUCAUAAUUUAAUAGAUGCAUUUAUUAUUUAGAAUUGUAUUUGCAAUUGGCUAAACGUGCAAGCGCGCAGAUAGCCAGAUAUCUUGAUCUGAUCCAUUUGAUUGGUUAGAUUCGCGUGAACUCAAAAUAACUAAACUUGCCUUUCUGAAUUGAGAGAGGUCAGGGUAAGCCAGCGUCAACAGUGAACAAAUUCAUUUUGUACAAUGUCAGCCUUACCGCAAGGGAAACGUAAAAGCAAAAUAAAAAUAAUAAUAAUAAUAAUAAUUCAAGAAGCACAAAUAAGCUAUAGCAAGAAUACAACAUACAAAGAUCAAGACUAACAAAGCCUAUAAUUCGGAAAACUAUUUGCACCAACAGAAAGAUUGAACAAGACAGACCAAUUCGCAAGACAAUCAGCUGCAUGCAUUGUUACACUUCCGAAAAGCAUGAGUAUACCAAAAAUUCAUCCCAUUUAUUAUCUUAUGACAAUUAAUCCAAAGAUUACGAACACACCAAGGAGGAUGCUUAAUUUAAUUUCCAGUAAUUGAGAGAGAGGUAUGUCAGAUAUACGAAUGAUUUUUAGUAUAAACUUGUAAUCAUUAGAUCAUUAAUUAUAUAACUACAUGAUAGUAAACUCAAUACAAUUUACAAAUCAAUUUAAAUGCCACAACUAAAUAUGAAGGUUCACUUCUUAAGAAAAGGGAUCAAAACGUGCGAUAGGGUGACAAACAAGAGGCAGGGCUAUUUCUCCCGAAAAUCCUGACCCUAGGUUUUCAUCACCCUCUUUCCCACGGUUGAUUUUCCAAUCAAAGCACUGAACCAAGGCUCCAAUUGUUGUGUGCAUCACUAGAUUAGCAUAUGUACUGCCCACACAUCCUCUACUUCCACCACCAAAGGGAAUGUAACAGAAAUCCUGACCCUUCAUUUCCAUCUCAUCAUGAUGUCCAGUAUCACUGUUCAAGAAUCUCUCUGGCAGGAACUCGUCAGGAUCAUUCCACGCAUCUGGGUCCCGCAUGAUUGCAUAUGCAUUAAUCAGUGCUCUAGUCUUCACCUUUACAUCAAAACCGUUGAUCUUGCAAUCUCUGAUGCAUUCUCUGUGAAUGAUGGAGCCUAGAGGGUGCAAUCUAAGUGUCUCCUUUAAAACUGCUUGCAAGAAAGGGAGCUCUGAAACGUCCGAUUCUUUGACCAGUCUGGUCAACCCCACAACUGAAUCAAUUUCAUCUCUAAGCUUCUUGAACAUCUGGGGGCGUUUCAUGAGUUCGGCAAUGGCCCACUGUAUGGAUGCUGAUAUGCCAUCAACGCUCGCCAAAAAUAGUUCCUAUUAAUCGAUAAGAAAUUAAGAAUCAUGGUAGAUGGCUUUUUUAGUCCUAAGUUUGAGCUAAUUCAAAUUAGUUAUGUAUUUUUAAAAGUUGCCUAAAAUAUGUCGUUGUAUAUCUAUUUUUACUAGAAUUUAAGUUAUUAUCCUCUUUUUUUUUUUUCCAUGGCAUUAGGUAUGGCAAAAAAAGUCUGGGCAGUCCAAGUCCAGGCCAGCCCGGUUCAUUUCCGCGGGGCUCGAUCUAAACCUUUCACAUGAGGGCCUGGGCAAUUGUUUAGGAAAAAAAACUAGGCAUGCUCAAACCCUCUAUUUUAAAAAAAAAAUUAUGAAUUCGAAUAAUAAAUUUAAAUUUAAAAAAUAAUCAAAAAUAAAACCUUAAAUCCUUAAUUUAUAUAUCAAUCAUGAAUAAAAAAAAUUAAAAUUAUAAUAUUAAACUCUCUUUUAAGUGUCAAUUAAUUAAAAAAUUACUUGAAUUAGAGAAUUCAGUACUAAAAAAAUUAAAUCUCUAAAAUUUUAUUUACUUUAUUUUUAUUUAUUAUUUUAUUUUAAAACAUUUAGUUUCUUUAAUUCAUUAUUGAUUAUAACAAUUUAAUUAUUAUUAACUCAUUUCAAGAUUACAACAAUUUUAAAAAAUUAAAAAAUAGGUAAAAGCUUAAGACCGGCUCAGGCCCAACCCUUGCAAUUCUACUCUAGUGGACUAGGGCCUGGGUUUGUAAAAGCCCGACCUUAACCUCUAAUUUUCCAACCUUAUAUGGCAUAUCAACUGUCUUUGAAUUUUCAAGUUAUACUAGAUGAAAAAUAUUAUUAUAUCUCUAAAAAAUUAGACUAAGAAGUAACAACAGAGAUUUUAAGUAAUUUUUUGAACAUGUAAAGAGUAAUUGGAUAAUUAACUAUGGGCCCUGAGAAUUACUUGCUAUAUCGGGCUAGUAUUUUUUUUCAAUUAUUAUUUAAAAGACAUGGUUGAUCAAACCUAAAUUAAUGUUUUAGUUUCUAUAUCUUCACGAUUCAGCUCAGAAUGUCCAGCUAAAUAAAAGUGCCUAAAAACUAUUAAGUGAUGAUAUAACCACAAAUUCUUGUAUAAACUUAUCUUGUACAAAUUAAUUUGGUAUUAAUUCAUUGGUUGAAUAAAAAUACAAAAUAAUAAAAAUAGAUUAUGUGGGUUAAGAGAUAUUUAAUUCAACCAAUUUUAUCAUGUCACAUCAAUUUGUACAAAAUAAGUUUGUACAAUAAUUUGUAGCUAUAUUAUUACUCAAAACUAUUUUUGCGGGAUUAAUAUCAGCUAGUUAAAUGCAAGACAUCAUAAUUAAAUGAAAAGAAAUUAAUUACUUACUAAGACAAAAUACUUGAUCUGAUUUCUUGUUAACGUCACUUCAGAAUUUUCGUCUCUACAUGUCUCCAGCAAAAUACCCAUCAAAUCUCCAUCAUCAUUUUCUUGAUCUUUAAUUCCAUUGUCGUCCUCAUAAUCCGUCAUCAUCUUCUCCAAAAGUUCAUCAUAACGCCAAAAUACGUCUCUUAGCUUCUUCCCAAUACCAUGGAGAUCCAUUUUUGUCCGAAAGCUAAACACUUUACUAACACCAAGUUUGGCCGCAAGCCCCAUCAUCUCCACAACCAGCUUCCUCAUCAUUUUAGCUUCAUUUUCAAUUUCAUUUUCCGAAAUUCUCUUCUUGUUCAUAAUCAUUCUGAAUAUCAAAUUGUUGGUCAUGUUGGUCACCUCCGUGCCUAAAUUACAAGGAGGCCCUCCUUCUUCAGAAUAAUUCUUCAUAAUCAAUGAUUUCAAGAGUCUAUCAAUUUCUUGCUCUCGGAUUUUGUCGAACCGAUCAAUCUGUUGGGGUCCAGCAAAAAGUUUAGUGACGCAGAGAUGUUUCAUGAAUCGCCAGUACGCACCAUAAGGGCCCGUCACAAAACCAGAACCAUCGUAAAUAUUGUACUUAGAGGGACAAGGUUCGUACCUAGAGGCAAAAUCAAGAUCAUGGGUUGUAAAGAUCUCUUUCGCGACGGUUGCAUUUGAAACAACAACAUAUGUCGAUGGUCCUAUACGUAUUUGCAUCAAAGGGCCGUAGCGGCGAGCUAGGGUCUGCAAGGACUCUGGUAACUUAGAGCUUAGUAAAUAACUGUGACCGAUUAUGGGUAGAGCUGGUGGGCUUGGCGGAAAGUUAUAGGAUUUUGUGAAUGUUUUGAUUAGCCAACGUGCAAUAAGUAAUGAGGUUAUCGAAAUGAAGAAGGGGAAGCAAUAGGCGUACAUUAGGUUAAGAUUUGAGGCCAUAGCUGGUUUCUUGCAGGAGACUUCAAAAUGAAUUAAUGAGUUUAUAUGGUUAAUUAACGAGCACACCUUAUCACAUAUAAUUAGAGGAGAUAAUGUUCUUGACUUACCGAUAGUGAUAUAUGUAUAAAUAAAUAAAAUUAUGACUGUAUCUAGAGAGUGUACAUUUUGGACUCUUGGGUGCUUUAAAAUCAUUACUUUCUUUUUCAUUCAAUUUUAUAUUAUUUGUGGAUGAAUAUUUUUAUGAUCAGUUGAAAGGAGAAUGUGACCACUUAUUUUUCAAUGGAUUAUGACGCAACCAGAAAAUUACGUUAAAGGAAUCCAGACAUUUGUGCAAUGGUACCACUAUUAAGCAUUUGCUAUAGCUGCUAUGACUAUUGCUUAUAAACAAUAUGCAUGCGAGGCAGGUAAUGACGUGCAUAUUAAUGCUAUUAAAUUUGAACUCAGUACUAUGCUCAUUAGUAAACCAUUAAGGAAAAAUAAUAAUAACGAUCUGUCAAUAAUAUAGUUUGUUCAUCAAGUCACUACCUGAACUUGUGAAUCAAUUAACCAUGGUUAGCUGGUUGCAAAACUAAUAUAUAUAAGCAGUGAGGUAGCUUCUCGGUGUACAAUAACUUAUUAUUAUAGCAACGGGCCACGGAUGGUUAAUUAUUUUUAAGCCAAAAUGCAUUCACGAACAUAAAAAAAGUUGGUGCAAUCGCACACCCUACAUCACAGGCUCUUCAAUGAAAGCUUGACGCUUGUGUAGUCGCACAUCAGAUCAGUUCCCAUAAUUUAAUCCCAGCUCAAUUAAUCUUUGGGUCACAAAAUUAUGUCCACAGAAAAUUUUACGAGAGUAGGUUUUUUGACACCCCUCAAAAUUCUUCAUAAAUCCGGUUUUCGACAAAUUAAUUGAUUUCUUAUUUUGUUUGGGAGUUCAAGUAAGCAUUUAAAUAAAUUAUCCUGUUAAAAAAUAUUUUACGUCCACCUUAUUUCAUAAUUUAUGUUUAUAUUUUUAAUUUUUGACUAAAAGUAUUUUUUAACAAAAAUUGUGAGAGUUUAGAGUGAUGGAGAUAGAAAUUAUAAUAAGAAAAUAAUUUAAGAUUUUGGGAUUUACAUGUUUAAUAAAAAAAAAACUGAAAAGAUAUAUUUUUUAGUGUGAAAUUUUAUAGGAAAAUAGUUAAUUUUAAUAUAUAGUUUGUAUUUGUAACUUAAAUUAGAGGUAUUUUAGGAAAUAAAAUUUAAUUAAAAAGGGUUGGGGAAGGGUGGAUUGGGGUGCUGGUGUUUGUUAAAACUUAAAAGAUCCAAUUUUGCAACGGGAUGGCAUUAGCAAGGGAAGGGGACAUGAUUGUCAACUCCAUGCAACAUCAAAAAUUAAAAAUAAAUUGAAAAAAGUGGAAAGCUUAAAUUGAUACUAUAAGUUCCUAACCCGAUUGGCUUUCGAAAACACAAAAAUAAGCCUAAAUCCCACAUGACAGGAAAUUUUGACAUCCCUUAGGUUACGCUUUCUUUUAUAACCAUUAAUUAAUCAUAAUUUAAAAAAAGGAAAAGGGGAAAAAAUAUUCAAUGAUAAAAUUUGUACUCAUGUUUGAAGGCUUAUCAAAAAGAAGAAAUAAACAAUGAAAAUUAAGUAAUUAAGGGUGCUACAAGAGAUACGAGGUUGGAAAUUUGCUCACUUAAAUGAGGAAAAGAUUGAAUUGUGUUUUUCAAAAAAGUGAAAUCAGUUAAUAAUAAUAAUUAUGAGGAAUAUAUGAAUUUGUAUAAAUUAUAAUUAAUAAAGAUUAAUCGCUAGCUAAGAUUUUUCUAAUUGUAGUUUUUUCUUUAAAAAAAAAAUUAUUGUUCAUAUAAUAUUAUACUAAUUUGCCGUUGGCCUAUCAAGGUGCGUUUGGAAUUGAGGUGUUGUAGCUUUUAAGCUACAGCUGCUAUGGAAAAAAAGUUGUGACUAUAAAAUAAAAAUUAAUAAUAUGUAGUAAAUAUAAAUUUUAAAUAAUAAUUUUGACAAAAUUAUUAAAAAUAUAAUAAAUUUUUCAUUAUACAAGUGAAAAAUUAUAUUAAUAUAGCUUAUAAGUUAUAGCAGCUAGUGUUUACCAAACACUUUAGUGUUGUAACUUAAAAACUACAGCUGCUCAACUUCAAUCCCAAACACACCCUUAUUCUAAUAUAAGAAAUAUGCACCACAAAACUUGAGAAGCACAAGUACGAGUCCUACGAAAAAAAAAAAAAAAAAAAAGCAUGUUAGGACUUCAAUGCUAAGAUUUUAGUUUCCCUCUUAUUGACCAGGAUAGAUUGGAGGAUUAAAAAAAAAAUCGUGUACUAAUUAAUUUGCCCAUACAAGUAACAUAUACGUGUUAAGCUUUUAUUAAUAAUAAUAAAAUUACUCUAAUCCCAAGCAUACUUAAAAAAGAGCACGACAGUUUACAUAACAGACCAUAACCACAACUACACAACUUUAAAAAGUUUACAGAAUUUACGAACUAAACAAGUAGCAAACGAUCAUUACAAAAAAAAAAAAAAAAAGGCUCCACUUAUUUGAAUAGUAUUCAUGCAAGCUAAUGGCUGGCUACAAAAGCUUCAAAUGUGGAACCGGAUAACACACAAGUGGUGUAGCCAUUUCUGCUGCAAAGCCUGACCCCGUGCUCAAAUCAACCUUCUCCCCAUCCUUGACUUUCCAAUCGAAGCACUGAACCAAUGCUCCCACGGCUGCAUGCAUCACUAGCAUUGCAAGUGAUGCACCGGGGCAUCCUCUGCGCCCGCUCCCAAAUGGAAGGUACCGAAAAUUCUGACCCUUAAAUUCCAUUUGAUGCUCGCCAAUUUUCUCACCAGAUCUCUCCAGGAACCUCUCAGGCAUGAACUCAUCAGGAUUAGCCCACAACUCAGGGUCUCUCAUUAUGGCAUACACGUUAACCAGCACCCUUGUUUUGGCCUUGACGAGGGAGCCAUUGACCAUGCAAUCUUCGGCACAUUCUCUGAUGAUCAGCGGUGCUGAAGGGUGAAGCCUUAGUGUUUCGCGGAUUACCGCUCGAAGGUAAGGCAGAUUUUGGACGUCCGAUUCUUUGACGAGCCUGUUGGGUCCAACAACUGCAUUGAUCUCUUCUCUAAGCUUAUUGAAUGCUUCUGGACGAUUCAGGAGCUCCCCCAUGGCCCAUUGCAUCGCUGCUGACGACGUGUCGGUGCCAGCCAUGAAUACAUCCUGGUUAAAGCAAAAUAGAUUCUUUAUGAAGGAAGGCGGCUAAUUAGAACAGAUUUUAAAUGUUAAACUUACGAGCAAGAAAGACUUGAUGUCCUUUUUUGUUAACUUGAGUUCUGCAUUUGAGUCCCUAUAUAUCUCCAACAAAAUAUCCAUCAAAUCCUUCCUUUGAUCAGCCUCAAAGCCCUUGAUGGCCUCCUCUUCAUGUUCCUUCAAGAUCCUCUCCACAAUCCGAUCAAACUUGUGCAAUGCAGACACAAGCUUCUUCCCGCUUCCAGAGAAGUCAAAUAUUUUGAAAGGUCCCAAAACAUCCCCUACACUUACUUUGCCUGCAAGCUCCAAGCAAGUCCUGACCAGACCCUCAAUCUCUUUGGCUUCGUUGUGGCUCCCCGAACACCGCGUGCUCAUAGCCAUCCUGCAAAUAGUAUUGUUUGUCAAAGUUGUUAGUUCACUGCUCAAAUGACAAGGCUUUCCUUCUCUGUAACACUUCAUCACCGACUCCACGAGCUUGAUCUUCUCUUGCUCGCGUACGUCGAUGAACAUAUCAAGCUGAGGAACUGCUAAGAGCCUUGUCAUGCAUAGCUUCUUCAUGAACCUCCAGUAGUCACCAUACUGAGCAAGAACAAAUCUUGAUCCUCGGUAUAUGAAGUACUCUGAGGAACCAAAUUCGGGUCUAGAGGAAAAGUUGAGCUCUUGGGUUUUGAAUAUCUCUUUGGCAACAUCAGCAUCGGAUACAACAACACAUGCUGAGGCACCAAGACGAAUCUGCAUGAGAGGGCCAUAGCGGCGAGCCAGGGUUUGGAAAGAUUUUGGCAGGACUUUGCCUACAAGGUGAAGGUGACCGAUUAACGGAAGCGCAGGAGGGCUAGGUGGGGGUGAAAUUGAACUGGGAGCUUGUUUCAGGUACGUCUUGAUGAAAGAGUGAAUUAAAAGAGCAGUGAUGAACCAAAUCAAGAACACGAGGUAGAAUAGCAAGUCACCAGCAGUAGUGAUAGCCAUGGCAUUAAGAAUUUUAGAUGACUUGUUGCCCUGAGCUUUUAGGUCUUUAAAGAGAGUGAACUUGUUGUAACAAGCUUAUAUAGAGAUUUUCUAGUGGCAAAAUGAAAAUAUUUUCAUACCCCAGUUUUUUAUUUGAUUAGUAGAACACGGCAAUCAAAAUUAAGUUAGAAACAGGACAAACACAAAGCGUGUAUAUAUAGCAUUAGUAUCCCCGCCUUGUAUUUUUCUAUCUAGCCUCUCCUUGUUUUUUAAAUCUAAUUGAAAAAAUAGGCUCUAUUUAUUGUAAAUAAGCUUAAAAGAACUGGCUUAAUUGUCAAUGACUCAAUAUUAAAAUUCAAAACCCAAUCUUAAUCACUCAUUUAACGAAAAGAAAUAUAAAAAAAAAAAAAAAUACAUCCUUGUCCAUAGAUAUAUCUUUGUCAUUGUCACGUGUUACAUGUGUUAACGAUAUAUGUAAAUGAAUGCAUCCAAAUUGCAAAAUCAUUUCAUAUUUUGAUAAUAGAAAAGGGGAAUCUUUCCCCCGGAUUUGACAAACAAGAAGUGGAGGAAACCUUGUACGGACUGAGAUGGGGCUAGAUUAUGAAGCAUAAUAAAUCAAUUAAUAUUUACAAAUGAGAUCAUCGAUUGAUUGCAAAGUCUUAGACUUUUGAUGAAAUUAUUGGCAUCAUACACGUAAUGUGAGAGGGAAUUAGGUGUGGUCCUCAACAUGACUAAGCACUGGGUAACUAUCAAUCUUAGGCUCCACUUUUGAUUGGAAGAAUUGGUUAAAUUCUUAAUUGAUUCACCCUCCGCUGAUGCAUUUGAGGAGACACAUCAAAGAUAAAUGGGUCCGAUUUAUUAACAAUUUCUAAAUUCCAUCCAUAUCAAAAUAUUGGCCUUUAUCACUUUGGAUUGGAAUCUCAACUGCAAUCAUUGAAAUCUUCAUAAACUGAAUUGUAACAAAAAUUUGAAAUCCCCAAUUGUAUUGACUGCCUUGAUCUUGAAUGUCAAGAAUCGAUUUGCUAAAUAGUUUAGCAAAUAAACUUGUCAAGAGGUACUCAUAUCAAACCUGAGCAUCAAUGGGCACCAUUAUCGACUGCCGAUACUAUCUUUUUCUUGAUCAUCCUCUGGCACAUCACUACUCUUUCUUUUCUCCUGCACAACAAGACCAGAAUAUGAUAUCAGCAUUGUGUGUGCAAAGGUGCACGAAAGAUAAACAUGUCACUGCAUCAAACUGUAGGGUUAAAAGUAGAGAUUGUAUAUAUAGUUCAAACUUCUAACAAGCAGAUUGUUCUAAACCCAAUUAGGAAAGCUUACCAUCUGUUUGCUCUCUCCUUGAUGUCUUGGGAAUCUUUGUUUUAUGUACAUUUCUACCACUGCUGUGACUAUAUUACAGUAAUCAUUGUAAAAUAAAUCUUUUCUACAAACACCAUACGCAUGCAUUUUCCAAAAAUGCCAAAGGGUUCUCUGCAAUGGACAAUGAUAUUCCAUUUUUUCCGGUGAAACAUUGAAGUUUCCUACAUGAAAGUUUUGCCCACGAAAGAAUUUCAGAUAGAAGGCUGCUAUUAAUUCUUUCCCAUCUAAAAUCUAAUUAUCAGGCAAAUACUACUUGCUCCAUAAGAAGUGGAACUCUGAUCAAGUAAAUAAGAUGUGAUGCUGGCUUGUACUCUUGUUUAUUUACAUCAGCUUUCAACAACCAAUUCAAAUCUUGACUCGUCAACACAUUUCUCUUCAGCAGGAAUUGAAGGUGCUCCAGUUACACGAACUGCAUGGAAUGAUUCGUGAAUCGUGACUUAAAAACUAUGGAUUUUCAGAACAUCAUUAUCAUACUACAGAAAACUUAACUAUGAAAGAGAGUUUUGGCUUCUCACACAACAAUGAAACCAGAAGGCUGAAAAGCCGCUGCGAUUAAAGCUGAGAUUGACUGAAACAAAGCCAAAGGAAUUGGAAAAAAGAAAUAUAAAAAAAUCUCAUCAAAGAUGAUUAAAAGAAAAUAUCACAAAAUUUCAUAACUUCUAACAUUUGGUAAGAAGUUCCAUUAUGCAAACAAAUGAUGAUGACAGCAAAUAUAAGUGCAAAGAGACAAGGGUAAGCGAAACAUACUUUUAAUGAGUUAAGACUCACCUGAGAAAUAUCGGAAUGCAUCUCUCCUGAUAGCCAAAAGGCUUAUCAGAAUGCAUCCUGAGAAUAUCAUAAAUUUAUCCAUCUAAUACGGUUAGAAACAAGUAACAAAACUAUCAAUCAGAGUAUCCAGGCAACCAUUAAAAAAUUGCAUGUAAGAGUAUUGCAGGGAUUGUAAUACACUUUGUUAAAACUUCAAAAAUGCAUUUUUUGAACAAAACUUCCUUUCAGACAAAUAUUGUUAUUCAUUAUUAUCCUUGCAACAACAUAGGCAAAGAUCUAACAGAAACUGAAAUACAGAUAUUAUAUACAUCAUUAAACGAUAGUACGUAAAUUCCUACUUCAACCUUCAAAGAAUGAAGGCAACAAAAGAAAUGACUACAGAUCGCCAAGCUUUCAGCAAGGCAGCAACAAUGUUAAACAAGCAACAAGCACAAUUGCCUACUCAUCUAUACAGUGAUCUUAGCUGGAUCUCAGCAAACAAAAGAAAAGUAUGGAAACUAUUUGCUAAAUCAAGAUAUGAGAUCAAAUAGAAUGUCAUCAGAGGAUGACCAAUGUCGGAAAUGGUACUGAUCAUCAGAGGAUGAUCAAUCUCACUGCACAGGGCCCCUAUCUCAUCUUCCAAUUUCUGGACGUUGCUGUCUCCUACAACAGAAUUUGUGAGAGAAUAACAGCAAUCAACGAAUUGACAUCAGAGUGCGAACUCUUUUUUCCCUCUCAGCCUUUUUAGCAGUUGGGAUUCUCUUCAAUUUAUUCAACUCCUCCAUUACAACCUUCUCAACUUUGUCAAUUGAGUUCAGAAGUUUCUUCUGGGGUGUGAGAGACUCCAACUCUGCACCAGCCUGAUUUGUGAUAUCAAGCAAAAUCUUAGGCACUUUACCAAUAGAGGGAGGACAAGCCUUCACACUUAAGGUUGGAGUUGGGGUCAUCAUAGAAAUAUUGUGCUCUGGCGGAGCACCUGACAGUGGCACAAAAGAAUCAUUGCCUCUCUGGCUGUGGGACAUUGGACUCUCCAUCUGUAGGCCUCCGACUUCUCCCAAAUGAGCUCUUCUUCUUUCUAUAGCCUAAAAAGCCAGAGUUAAAGUUAUCAUUAAUUGGGCUCAAGAAGAGCCUUGAAUAAGGACAGCAUAUACAGAACUGCCAAAGAAAUUUUACUUAUGACUCAAAUGAAGUCCACUGCUGUCUCUGACUUAAGAAUUGAUGACCCCCCAAACAGAAGCAACUCUUUGGGGUUGAAUUCCUGUUUUCAACAAUAAACUCCCAGCCUCCCCCUAAUUCACUGAACAUGAUAUUUCCCAAAGGAAAUGUUCUGUUAUCACCACAAGAACUGACCCCCAUCAACAUCAAAACAACGGUUUAAACAGACAUGAACUGAACCAAAAUUAUCUAUUUGGAAAACUUAAUGUCCAAUGAUAUUCUGGCCCAAGAAUUGACCACCAAAAAUGCAGGAGAAACUCAGUCACUGGGGUUGAGAAUUCUUGGCUUAAACAAUAUGUCUUCUUCAAUAAACUGCUAAAAUCAGGACCCAUCCACGCCCUAAUCACUGAAAGCAAAUGUGACACCCCAACUACAAGAUAUGGGCAAAAGGAAAUGCUAUGACAUCACCACAAGAUCCAACUUGUCCCAAUCAAUGCAACAUAUUCAACAUGCACAAACUGAAACAAAAAUACGUAUUUGCAAAACUGAAUCAAAAUAUCAACAUAAUGCAUCCAACAAAAUCUGAAGCAAGACUACAUUCCAUUUAUGCCCAAUAUAAAGAAUGGCGAUACAUCAGAACAUACAAAAAGAAACGCAACAUAUUCACUUGCUAAAUGCAAAGCCAUCAAUAAUCUGACAAAAGAAAAUAUAUACAACAGCAGUCCCUCUUCAUAUCUAUUAUGGGUUUCAUAUGAUAUCGAAGAACAGAAAUUAAUUGAGUGACAUGACCAAGUGGAAAUGAAAAGGAACAAAAUUAUCUCAAAUGAGAAGAUUGAUAUGGAUCCUAAAUUCGUUAAAAAUAAACCUAAUUCCUAAAGUGUGGGGCAUAUCUAACUAAUGAUAAAAGAAAUUUCAAGUACCCAAGAAUCCAGCACUAAGCAGAAACUCAAGUUCAUUUCUAAUUCAAAAAAACAUAACCAAGAGUAUAAUAACACAUUUUAAAAUAAAUAAUAAAGAAUCGGAUUUCAGUUCAAAAUCACUCGAUAAAAUUUCGAGCAAUACCCUCACAACAGCAGUGAUAUCCCUAAGGGGCGUCCUCGGGUACCAAGAAGGUAACACGGUGCGUCCUCUCCUAGCAGCACUCCCCGCAGGCGUAUUCUCUCUCCCGAUUGGUCCACGUGUCACCGUUGCAGAUCCAAAAGCAUUCCUUCUUCCACGUACAAGGCCACUCCUCGGGGUCCCCAAUCCGCCACCUCUUCCAGCAACUCUCGUUUGUACACGUGGCGUCGCAGCAGCUGCUCUACCGAGUGGAGAUCCUAGCGGAUUCGAAGCGCUUUCCGGCUCGUCUUGAAGGAUUCCGAGAACUCCAUGCCGUCUUUGGGCAAAGACGACCGCGACGUCCACCGGCCUCACGAGCCUGUCACGUGCCUCCGGCAUUGUCUUUUCUUUUCUUGAUUUCUCCUGGAAACUGCCGAAAAACAAGAAAAGUGAUUAGCUUGCCAAGAAAAUGAAGAUCUCAUAAAUCCAAAGGACCAUAUUCGAAGAGACUGAUAAACCUCACAUUUUUCACGAAAAUGAAAAUUUUCUCGAGAAACGAACACUUUAGCUUACCUUGAAGAGAUGAAGAGCGCAGAAGAAUGAAGUACAGGAUGAAGAUUUUGUUCUUUAAAAUGUUAAAGGGAGGAGAAGGAGGCUAGGGUUUUGGAUGGGUAUCUGCUGUGCAUCAGAAAGAUAAGAAGAAGAGAGAGGAGAGAGGAGAGAAUUUGGCAAAUUUUCGAAAUGAAAUUUUGGGCGGUCUUAUAGAAAGAAAAUGUGUUGUUGAGUAUCAUCAGCCAAACGAAAAAUUUUUUUUAAAAAAAAAAAAAAAGCACGUGCAGGAAUGAGAUUCGAAAUUCAAAUUUUCUCAAGAGCGGGCGAUGGGAACGAGCCGUUUUGGUGUGUACGUACAAUUACUCUUUUGCCCUUAUCAAUUUGGGUGGACUUCCGGGUUGACAGGAUUUUAAUUUUUAAACACCAAUUUAUUGGUUUAAUACAACUCAAAUUCACCAAUGGGCCUUUGAUGAUCUGAUAGGAGAGUACCUGUACUUAUAAUACUGAGAAAAAGAAUUCAAGAAUAAAUAUCAAUUGUAGUCUAAUAAUAUUUAAAAAAAAACAUAUAAGUUACAAUGUAAAUUAUUUAAAUAUAUCAAUUUUUUUGAAUUGAUACAAUAUGGGGAAAGCCUACUACAAAUCUUGAUACAAACACUAAUAAAAAAUUGAUACAAUAUGGGGAAAGCCUACUACAAAUCUUGAUACAAACACUAAUAAAAAAUUGAUACAAUAUGGGGAAAGCCUACUACAAAUCUUGAUACAAACACUAAUAAAAAAUUGAUACAAUAUGGGGAAAGCCUACUACAAAUCUUGAUACAAACACUAAUAAAAAAUUGAUACAAUAUGGGGAAAGCCUACUACAAAUCUUGAUACAAACACUAAUAAAAAAUUGAUACAAUAUGGGGAAAGCCUACUACAAAUCUUGAUACAAACACUAAUAAAAAAUUGAUACAAUAUGGGGAAAGCCUACUACAAAUCUUGAUACAAACACUAAUAAAAAAUUGAUACAAUAUGGGGAAAGCCUACUACAAAUCUUGAUACAAACACUAAUAAAAAAUUGAUACAAUAUGGGGAAAGCCUACUACAAAUCUUGAUACAAACACUAAUGCAGUUUACUGGUCUAGUGAGUCUACUGAGCAUAUCAAGUUCAUAAGAGACUUGUAGAUCAAAUUACAAUCAAUCAGUUCCAACAAACAAUCGGAGAUAACAAUUAAAGACAAACUAACGAAAUAUCCUCCAAUGCACAACAUAUGUGCACGUAACUAUAUCAAGCUCUAACCGAAAUAUUCCUGGCUCUUUUUUAACAUCCACUACCACCAUGGUUGGCUUCUCCAACUAAUAUCUUGUAACAACUUAUCCAAAGCAUUUAGUUACCUAGAUUUGAAGCUUUGAAUCUCCAAAUCUAUGAGGAAAUGAUUUGUUGCCACAAAAAAAAAAAAAAAAAAAAAAAAACAAACCAAAAAAAAAAAAAAAAAAAAAAAAAAAAACCACAAAAGACAAUAAUCACCACAAAAUUGAGUAGGGUAUGAAAUCUAGGCCCAUAUUUAUUUAUCCAAUUUGAUUUUAUGUAAAUAAAAAAAAAAAAAAGCACGUGCAGGAAUGAGAUUCGAAAUUCAAAUUUUCUCAAGAGCGGGCGAUGGGAACGAGCCGUUUUGGUGUGUACGUACAAUUACUCUUUUGCCCUUAUCAAUUUGGGUGGACUUCCGGGUUGACAGGAUUUUAAUUUUUAAACACCAAUUUAUUGGUUUAAUACAACUCAAAUUCACCAAUGGGCCUUUGAUGAUCUGAUAGGAGAGUACCUGUACUUAUAAUACUGAGAAAAAGAAUUCAAGAAUAAAUAUCAAUUGUAGUCUAAUAAUAUUUAAAAAAAAACAUAUAAGUUACAAUGUAAAUUAUUUAAAUAUAUCAAUUUUUUUGAAUUGAUACAAUAUGGGGAAAGCCUACUACAAAUCUUGAUACAAACACUAAUAAAAAAUUGAUACAAUAUGGGGAAAGCCUACUACAAAUCUUGAUACAAACACUAAUGCAGUUUACUGGUCUAGUGAGUCUACUGAGCAUAUCAAGUUCAUAAGAGACUUGUAGAUCAAAUUACAAUCAAUCAGUUCCAACAAACAAUCGGAGAUAACAAUUAAAGACAAACUAACGAAAUAUCCUCCAAUGCACAACAUAUGUGCACGUAACUAUAUCAAGCUCUAACCGAAAUAUUCCUGGCUCUUUUUUAACAUCCACUACCACCAUGGUUGGCUUCUCCAACUAAUAUCUUGUAACAACUUAUCCAAAGCAUUUAGUUACCUAGAUUUGAAGCUUUGAAUCUCCAAAUCUAUGAGGAAAUGAUUUGUUGCCACAAAAAAAAAAAAAAAAAAAAAAAAAAAAAACCACAAAAGACAAUAAUCACCACAAAAUUGAGUAGGGUAUGAAAUCUAGGCCCAUAUUUAUUUAUCCAAUUUGAUUUUAUGUAAAUUAAAUGAGUUUAACUUUGAAAAUUUUGAUUCAUUUAAUAAAUGGUGAAUUCAAUUCGAUUAACUAAUUAAACGAAUUGAAUUCGGGUUUGAGGACAUUGAUUCAUUAAUUAAUAGUUUAGGAUUCGUUUAAUACAUAGGUCACAAAUGAAUAGAAUACGAUUCAUUUAUUUAAAAUUCAUUUAUUAUUCGUGUAAUUAAAUUACUCAUUUAUCCUUAAAUUUGCAUGAAAAACUUUAAAGUUUGCAGGCUAAUAUAGUAAUUAUAAAUGAUAAUACGUUGUAUUUUAGUGGAUAUUAAAUUUAUGGUCUUUUUAUAUUUUAUUUUGCCAUUUUUGUUUAUUAAUUAUAUUUUUGUAAAUGAAUUAAUAUUCAAUUCGAUUUGUUAUGGAUUCAUAUAGGAUAACGAAUAAUAAACCAAUUCAGAUUUGAUUUGAUUCAUUUAUUAAUCCUAUUAAAUGAAUCGAACUGAAUAUUUGUUUAAUAAACUAAUCAAAUACAAAUCCUAAGAUUUCAAAUCGUUUAAUAAACGAAUCAAAUAUGAAUCAGCACAGCUUUGACCAUAUUCAUUUACGAUUUGAUUUGAAUUCAAUUUUUUUAUUCGUUUUGCCAUUCUUAAAAAUGAGUUGAGUAACAGCCACCGCAAAUCUAAAAAGAUUUCCGCUCCAUUCCAUUUAUGGUGAGAAAAGUGACUUGAAAUUUUUGUUACCAAGCAAAGGGGUUAUAUAGAGAAAAUGAGGGGAUAGCUUAUUACAGUGAAAACAAUCUUUCCAAUGCAUAGCUCCGAAAUCUACUUCUACUAAUAUUGGGAAGAUAUCUACCCUUAUUUCAUAUUUCAUCAAAAAGUGAUAUACCACCUAAUUCAUGGAAUUACAUGGCGACUAUAUAACUAAUUUUGUGGCUAAAAAAAAAAAUCAAACUAAAAGCCAAAGAUUAAUAAAACAAGAGAAGAGAAGGGAGAUCUAUGAAGAGAGGAGAAGGAAGAUCUAGGAAGAGAGAGCACGGCAAAGGGAGAGAAAAAAUAUGGGGUGAGAAAGAUUUGGAGUGGGGUUCACAUAGAGAGAGGGAGGAUAUUAAAAAUUCUUAGAUAUUUAAUUUCAAUAAAUCUUAUCAAUAAUUGAUAUUAAUAAGUGUAAAUUAAGGGUACUUUUAGGGGACUGUUGAUCACGUGUGUGUGUGUGUGUGUUCCAAUCCGAAUUUUUAAAGUGUGGGAAAGUGCGGGAAAGUUUUAAAACCAUGCGGUUUUAAAAGAUUAAAUUGAAUGCCUUUAAAGCCGUGCGGUUUUAAAGUUUUCCCGCACUUUAAAAUUCAUGACUAGAAAACUACUAUAUAUAUAUAUAUAUAUUUCAUGUGGCUUAAUAAAGUCAAUUUUUAAUAUUGUUAAACUAUACGGCUUUAUAAUACAUUAAAAAUUAAGUCUAUUAAACCACACGACUUAACAGUGUGUUCAUAUUAAAAUAUAUAUAUAGAGAGAGAGUGUGUGUGUGUGUGCGCGCGUGUGUGUGAGUGUGUGAAAGUGACCGACUAUAUGAGCACAUUGACAUGACGUAUAUAGCAUACGGUGAAUAAAGUUGACAUUGUAGGUUAUAAAGACAACAUUGUGAAAUAAUGUUGUUCGUCAUAAGAUGAGUGAUAUUACACGCUAGACUUUUAUUUAUUUAUUUUUGGAUUAAGAUACUUAGAACAGCUUUUCGUGUAGUUAUAUCUUAUCAAAUUUGCGGUGCUUCCCACAAAUGAGCUGAUAUGGAAACCUCCUCCUGGAGGGUGGUCUAAAGUCAAUACAGAUGCUGCAAUUCAAGCACAGGAGCAGACUGUAAGGCUUGGAAUUAUAAUCAGAGACUCAAAAGGUGGUUCUGUAGCUACUGCAAUGAAAAAAAUCUAAGUUUUAUGACAGCAUAGCAUAUGCAGAAGCUGAAGCAAUAAACUUGGGGAUUGAAGUAGCAGAAGCAAUCCAGCCACUGAUAGUUGAAACUGAUUGUUCAGAGGUAGUUAAUCAAAUAUCCGGAAAGAAGAGAAGCAAAUCAGAGCUUUCAUGGAUCCUCUCGGAAGUUCAAAAUCAGGUGCAGAGAUUAAAGGAAAUGAAAGUGCAGUUCACACCACGGAUGUGUAAUGGCAUUGCCCAUGAUUUAGCCAAGAUGGCUUUGAAAAUCAACGAACCUGUUAAGUACUUAAGUGGGUGGGCACAUGCCCACCUCAUCUUUUAUAUCUUUUUUCUUAAUUAAUGAAAUUAUGCUUUCUUCUAAAAAUAAAAAAUAAAAAUAAAAAGAAAGAAAGAAAUUUGUGAUGCUUCUUGUAAAAAUUGUUCAACUCACAGUAUAAUUGUCUAACAAAAAUAAAAAUUAUCGUCCAUUCACAAGAAAUCAAAUCAAGUAAUUAUUCAAUGAAAGAUCCCUCAUCUAAUUAAAAUGAGGAACAAAUAAAAGAUAAAGAAAAAUAUAUAUUCUAAUAUAAUGUAUUUUCACUUUUAGUAUAAUAAAGUUCUUAUUUUUUGUCUUUUAAAACUUUAUCGGAUCCAUCAUUAUAAGUUUGCUUCAUAAAGAGAGAGAACAAAACAAGAAAUUAGAGGAUUGAAUUCCUCAUUAAAUUCAAAUAACAACAACAAUAACAAUAAAUAUAACAAAUGAAUAAUACAAAAAAUUGAGUGAAUGGUGAGCGUCUGCCUCUUGUGAAUGUGAUGUGAGCCCAGCAUGCUGAUGCGUUUGCAACUAUCGACUUUAAAACAAGAAAAAUGAAGAAAGUGAUUUCCACAAAUAUACUUGAUAUUAAGAAUUCUAUAUUCCUCCAGACAAACUAAAAAUAGUAGCUUCCGUUUACAAAUGCCUACCGUAGGAGAAAGGCUGUUCUCUAGCAAUUAGGCUGGUAGAGCUAGUCUAAUACUCUUCAUGAUCGAACCAAAAAAAGGGAAAAAAAAAAAUUUCAAUAACUUAACAGAUGUCUCAUCCUGUCCUUCCAGCAUCAAUACACUCUUUUUACAUGAAUAUACCCUUUUCUUGAAAAAUAAUAAAUCCUAAAUGAACAAAAUUUCCCAAAAAGAGAAUCAAGUGUCGAAAAAAUGUGAAGCAAAAUUACGAAGAAAGGCAGCAGCCACGCUUGGAUGCAGAAUUCUGAUCCUGGCCGGGAACAAUAAUUCUGGUACCUUUAAGAAGAUUAGAGUUGCCUGCCACAUCAUGCUCAUCAUUGGCAGUAAGGGAUUUCUUGCUGAUUAUCCUAUAAAUCUCCGUUAACACUGUUAAAAAUGCAGUUUCAACAUUGGUGGCCUCGAGAGCUGAUGUCUCCAUAAAGAAAAGGUUUUCUCUUUGGGCAAACUCUUGGGCAUCUUCCGUUGGCACCGCACGAAGACUUCCCAAGUCACACUUGUUGCCAAUGAGCAUAAUAACAAUAUUCUUAUCAGCAUGCCCCCUUAGUUCAUCCAGCCAUCUUGCCAUGUGGUCAAAUGACUGACGCUUCGUCAUGUCAUAAACUAACAUUGCCCCAACUGCUCCUCGGUAAUAUGCACUUGUCACAGCCCUGUACCUGAGAAGCAACAAAAUAAGACAAUUUCAAUACACCAUAAAUUAAAAUAAAUUCAAUACUUCAAAUAUCUUUAUUUGACAAACACCAUAAAAAAAAAGUUUUCAAAUGAUUAGCUCAGGCCACCUAAGUUAGGCCUGAGUCAGACACACAUUAGAUGAAGCGUGCACAAUAACUAUUUUCAGGAAGCAGAAGGAAAAACAAUCAACUAUGACCUCAUACACCAACCUACCAGCCUCUGUAGUUGCAAAAGUGGGAUGGGACCAAACUUCUUAAAUCAAGAUGAUUGUCAUGUUUCACAGAUCAAAAACAAGUAAACCGUACAAGUCUAUAGCUUAAAUUUUUUGAAUUCAUUCUGUCAUGGUUCACCUUACAUAUAUAGAGGGGGGAAAAAACAUAAAGGUUAUGAAAUACACAUGAAAAUUUAUGUAACCAAUUUCAACAAGAAUAUAUUAAGCUUCAACCUGGCUAUCUUCAGGAUAAGAUGAUCAACCUGGAGGCCACCAGAUAGAUUAUUAGUAGCAAAAUAGAAUCCGUUUAUCUUUCACUUGGACCAUGCCAAUGCCAAACAGAACAUUGUUCCUGAGUCUUAAGUUACUAAGAUAUAUAUAUAUAUGGUUGAAAGAAUUAAGAGCCUAACAAGAACAUCAGGUAUCUGCAGUAGAGAUGUGUACUCUUGUUGGGAAGAAUUACAUGGUUGCAGAAAAAAGGAUCAAUAAGUAGAGGUUCAGUAAAAAUAUCAGGAAUGAGUUCUUAGGUUCUUAAAGAUAGAAAAACUUAUAUUGGUAGUUUGUAGCAGAACCUUCAGUUCCUCAGCAUUAAUUUUGCUACAAAUUAAAUAGUAGAUGAGUUUCUUUGAUAUGAAAAAAAGAAGAUAUGGCUUAUCAGUUAUCAAGCUGGCAAAACCCACAAUAAAACAAAUACAUAGGGUAAUCAUGCCAUGCAAAGUUAAGACACCAUCAGGAGGUCCAAAUAAUGUAACUAAUAAACCUGGCACCAAAGAGAUAGAUAGCAGCAUUGCCUUACAAGUCAAGAUUGAUCACACAUGAACUGAAACUACAAGGUAGUCUAACUAUUGUACAUGGUCAGCGAAUGUAUGCUUACACUGCUGUUUGUGUGUACAAACACCAAAGGACCUGAGGAGCAGCAACCUAAGAUGACAGCUAAUAAUGCAAAUGAAUUUUGCUAUAUUCAAAGUCAAUUUAAAAGUAGAAACUAGGAAGGGCUGGUUCAUAAGUAUUUACAUAUUGGGAAAAGUUGAAAAUGGGUGCAUUGCAGGAAAAAUAAAUAAAUAAAUAAGUUGCUUGAGAUUCAUGAAAUUAACAUAGUACAAACUAAGGAGGGUUGAGCAUAAAUGUUCAUAUUGGACAAUUCUUGCACUGCAGGGAAAAGCAAAUAAGUUGCUUAAAAGUGGAAAAUAGGUGCAUUUGAUAGAUAAUACCUUUUUUUUUUUUGGGGGGNNNNNNNNNNNNNNNNNNNNNNNNNNNNNNNNNNNNNNNNNNNNNNNNNNNNNNNNNNNNNNNNNNNNNNNNNNNNNNNNNNNNNNNNNNNNNNNNNNNNNNNNNNNNNNNNNNNNNNNNNGGGGGGGGGGGGCGGCUACAUAGUCUAGCAAAUAGAUAUCAUAAUUCAUGCCAGAUAAAGAAUACUCCUGGUAUUAAUUUGCUAUUAGGUACAUAUACUGAUGAGUUUAUCAUUAAUAGUGAGGAGAAUGAGUGAUGUAACAUUUCAGUUCCUUGAAUAUGAAAGAAUCUACUGAGACCCAUAACUUAAGGUCCUACAAGAGCUGUAGAGACACUAUUCUAAUGCUGCAAAACAUAUGCUUCAGUCUACUCUUUAACCCAUACUUGAUUUCUCCCAUCCCACCCAAAAGAAAUCCAAGAUAUGUCUCAUUUAGUUUUCUAUUAAAUUCACUUUUACAGUGAAGAGAGAAACAAUAAAUAGUCAUUCUAACUGGAGAUAACACAACAAUCACUAAGCUGAGCAAGUCCUAUAGAAUAAUAGACACAGCCUUCAUGCUAUAACCUAAAGCAACCAAUUGGCGAGCAGUCACCUAGUCAACAAGAACUACAUAUCCCUAAAAUCCAAGCAGUAAAGAUUACCACACCCAAUAAGCCUAACCAAUAUCCGCAGCUCCGAAGAAAUCAAUCCACCGAUGAUCCAAAAUUAUCCUUCAAACUAGCCAGCUAAACAGCCUCACCCAAAAUUUGUCAACACCACAAUUCACUAUUAAAACAAAUUUCUUUAAAUGUGAUUCAUAAAAGAGUUUAAUUAAAUCGAAAACGAAGGAAUCAGAAAGAGAAAAAAUAACUCACCUUUCUUGGCCGGCAGUGUCCCAAAUCUGAGCUUUGACAGUUUUGUGAUCAAUGGAAAGGGUUUUGGUUUGAAAUUCGACACCAAUCGUGGCCUUGGAAUCGACGCUGAAUUCAUUUCUAGCAAAACGCGCCAGUAGCUGUGAUUUCCCCACCGCCGAAUCCCCUAUUAAUACAACUUUGAAUACAUAAUCAAUCUUUUGAUUGUAAUCUCCGUACAAAUUUGACAUCGUCGACGCCACCAAACAAUUGUUAUAUAAACCUAAUUUCCUCUAAAGAUUCGCAUAAAAUCAAUCAUGUGGAGGCGUUGAACGACAAGAUCCGAAGCUCAUGAUCUUAGAAUAAAUUGGAGAAGAAAAAGAUAUAUCAAAAUUGGAGAAGGGAGAAAAAAAAAAUUCUCAGCGAAUCAGAGAGAGGGAAAAUGUGAUGCUGAGACCAACGGCCAAUGCGGGACCCAUUAACGGUUUUUCGUUAGCAGAUUAAUGAAAUGUUUUUGUUGGGUUACUCUACGAUGCUGUAAUUUUUUUACAGCAUCAAUAAUAUUUGUAAUUGUGUACCAUAAGAUUUAAUUAAUAGUAUAUAAUAUUUGUAGUAAAAAAUAAUAAAAAUAAUAGUAAAUGGUUAACAAGUGGAGAAUUUUGUAAACUAACUAUGACCACCAUUAGAGUUUGAAAUAAUUUCACUUAAAUAGCAUAUUUUAUUUAAAAUUAUUUUUCAAUCCUCCUUUAAAUUUGAAAUGUGAUAAUCUUUUUUAAAUAAAUCUUCCAAAAUCUAUUACCAUUAAGUAUAAAAUAUAAAGAUAGUUUAAAUAAAUCUUCCAAAAUCUAUUACCAUUAAGUAUAAAAUAUAAUGGUAGGUUAUUUAACACAAAUCAAAUAAAUAAGUUGCAAUUGCAAAAUUUAUAUAUGAUAUAAUAGUAAUAAAUAACACAACUAAGUACAUAUACUUAAGUAAAUGUCAUAGUUACAUCAAUAAACUUAUUGUUGAGAUUACUUGUAACAUAAAAAUUACUUGAUCACACAUGUUUUAAUAAAAUUUAAUAUCAUAUAUUAAAAUACUCAUUAUUUUAUAUAAUAUUAAGGGCCAUUGUAUAAUUGAUCAUGAAGUAUGUAUUAUUUUUAACACCCAUUUAACAUACUUAUUCUCUAAAUUUUAUAUUUAUCUUACAAUUAAUAUCCUUACAUGGUAGGAAUUUUAAGUUUUAUAAGCCUAUAUAUUUUCAUUUUAUUUUCAAUUAUCACUUUGUUAAUUUCAUAAAAGUUAAAUCUAAUAUAUAUUCCUAAUGAACUUUAGUUUAUGAUUCAUGAAAGAUUAUUUUAUUGAUAUCAUUUUAUUGUAAUUAUAAAAUUUUAUGUUAUUAAGAGUCAUUACUUUUGUUAUGAUAAUUAAUAGUGACAAUAAAUAAAAUAUUGCCUCCAAUAAUAUUUACGUGGGAAAAAAAGUAAAAGAAAAUCAUUUAUAUUUUUAGAUUUUUAUUGACAUGGUAGGAAAUUAUCUCAACCUUAUAAAAUUUAAUUUUCACAAGCUUAUUUUCAUUUUUUUUUUCAAAUGUCACUUUGUUAAUUUCAUAAAAGUUAAAUCUAACACAUAUUCCUAAUUAACUUUUGUUUAUGAAUCAUGAAAGAAUAUUUUAUUGUUAUUAUUUGAUAGUAAUUAUAAAAUUUUUAUGCUAUGAAGAGUCAUUACUUUUAUUAUGAUAAUUAAUAGUGACAAUAAAUAAAAUAUUACAUCAAAUAAUAUUUAAUGGACAAAAUGAGAAAAAAAAAUCAUUGUAUGUUUUUAUAUUUCCAUUAUAAAGAUAUGGUUUGGGAUAUUUUAACUUAAAAUUUGGCACAAUAUUUGAGCCAAUAAUAUCUCAUAGUCUAAUGGUUGAUAUUGAAAGUUAAAGCAACAUUUCAUAAUGUUAUAUCAUCUACCAUUGAAUUACAUGAAAUAAAUAGUUUAAUUUUUUGAUAAAAAUUUAGAUCAAAAUAUUUUUAACUCUAUAGUUAUAUAAACACAUAUAUUUUUCAAUAAUAACUGGUGAAUAAAAUAUUUCUCAUUUGUUGUGACUCAUAUAGUAUUAUUAAUAAAACACAUAUAAAAUAAUUUAUUGCAAUGCUUUCUAUUAUCAUUAUUGUUUAGGUAUUAAUGGUUUGUAAUUAAAUUCAUACAAUACAAAUUAUUGCAAGACUUUGUGUUAAAUAACCUACUUGAUGUUAUAUUUUAUAUUUAAUAGUAACUGAUUUUGGAAGAUUUAUUUAAAAGAGAUUAUCAUAUUACAAAUUUAAAGGAGGGCUGAAAAGUAAUUUUAAAUAAAAUAUACUAUUUAAGUGAAAUUGUUUCAAACUCUAAAGGUGGUCACAAUUAUUUUACAAAAAUUAUCUACCCACUUAAACGGUUACUAUUAUUUUUAAAUUAUUUUUUUAGUAUAAAUAGUAUAUAUCAUUGAUUAGAUCUAAUAGUUCACAAUUAAUAUAUUAUUGAUGCUGUAAAAAAAUUUAGAGCAUCACAAAAGAACCCGUUUUUGUUAUAUUCAGGGAAGGUGUGCUUUUCAUGCAAAAGAGAGUUAAGCGUCGACGGUGGCCGUUGAUCAAAACGUGUCAAAGGGAAUCAGAUAGAUUUCCAUCUGGCGGCAGCCGGCAAUGCUCGAGGCUUUUUCCAUUUAACUAAGUAAUACUUAAGCAAUCAAGCUUUGGUGGCCCGGUCCAAAUUUAAUUAGGCUUCGGGCCGGUUACUUAGCAAGGGAGCAGAUGGGUGUUGUCUGGGGUGGACUAUUCGCACUCCUCCAAUUUCCUGAAAAAUCCCCGUUUCUAAGUACACCUCGUAAAUAAAUUUACUUGUACCUUGCCUUUCAUGUACGCCGCGUUAAUUUCAAAUUCACUCUCACCUCUCCUUUUCAAAACUUCCAAAAUUUGGCUUAUCUAUAUCGGGUUAGCUUGGUUGUCGUCACACCCAUACUGCUCAUUAAUGCAGAUAGGGAUGGGUGUUUGGUUGGAGUUGAAACAAAUUGAAUUGAACUUGAAAUUUUUUUUUUUGGGUUUUUGGUUCGGUCCAAUUUGAUCUUAAAAAUUGAUUGUAUUGAGAAUUGAAAAUCUAUCAAGUUUAAAUUCAGUUCCGAUUAAAACUGAAACCGAACAUCAAAAUUGAAUCGAGUUACAUUUAAAUAUAAAAAAAAAAAACUCUAAAUUUAAAAAAAAAAAUCAAUUUUCCUCAAAUCUCAAACUCAUUCCCUCAAUUGCAACAUAAAUUGAAUUUUUGACCUAAAAUUAUAACCCGAACCUAGUUUAAAUCAAACUACUUUUUAAAUCUGAUUGGGUUGAAUUCUCAAAAUCGAACAAGUUGCAACCCGAACUAAAACCCUUAGAAAUCAAACUGAAAUAAGAAACUUGAAACGUGCACCCCUAGAUGCUGGGAGGCUGGAGCAAGCAACGUUGCCUGACCUGGUUUAUUGGUGGUGGCAGUAGUAGCCCACCAAUAGUGUAAGAAAGAGGGGAAUAGUAAGCAAAGCAAAGACACCAUUAUUUAUGAAAUAUCGAGUUCGUAGGAAUAAAAGAAUUAACAAGUUUUUAUUAUAAAAAUUGCAAUGCAUACAAAUUUUAUUCUUUACUGAUAGUGCUAUUGCACUCCAUCAUGGUAAAACAAUAAUAAUUGAGAUAUCAACAAUUAAGUCUCAACUUAAGUCUCAAUUAUUACGUGGCAUUUAUUUAUUAGAUAAUAAAAUUCAUAAUUAAUAAAAAUAAUAUCAUACUCUUUAUUAAAUAAAUGACACAUCAGUUGAGACUUAAUUAUUGUAAUCCUGAGCAUUAAUCAUGGUAAAAACAGGGGUUUGAUAAAGCAUUUAGAAUUUUAGAGGGGUAAAAGCUCAUUUAGUCCCUGUAUUUUAAGAUUAGUGUCCAUUUAGUCCUUAUAUAUUUUAAAAAUGUCUUGAAACAUCCCUGUCGUUAAAGUAUUGAUACACAUACCGUUACUUUUUAUUUCUUUUGACUUACUUUUAUAAUAUUACCCUUUUAUAAUAAUUUUUUGUUGGACAUUAAUAAAAUAAUAAUAAUUAAAUUACCAAUUUAAUCAUAGAAAAUUAAAAAAUAUAUAUAUUAAUUUUUUUGUAAGCACCAUUUGCACACUUAGUAGUUUGCAUAUAAUUUUUGACAAUUAAAAAUUAAUAUAAUUUUUUUAGGGUUAAAUUGGUAAUUUAAUUAUUUUCUUUUUUAUUAAUGUCCAAACAAAAAAAUUAUUAUAAAAGGAUAAUAUUGUAAAAGUAAGUAAAAAGAAAUAAAAAUAAUGGUAGAUGUAUUAAUACUUUAAUGAUAGGGAUGUUUCGAGUCAUUUUAAAAAAUAUAAAGACUAAAUAAUAAAUAGAUACUAAUUUUAAAAUACAUGAACUGAAUAGACUUUUAUUCAUUUUAAAGUGGUGCAUCAACUCCUCUGGUUAUUCAGCCAGUAUUCCUUUAAAGGUUUCGAGAAGCCUAAAAAAUAAGUGAUUUUACUACUUUGAACAGAGUGAGGAAAAGGCCAAAAACACUUUUUCUAUAAAUAAUAUUGUACAAAGUGCUGUAGUAUAUAAUAAUAUAUAAAAUUAAGAUCAUGAAGUAGCCCAUAUCAUUUAUUUUGAUUAUUUAUAUUUUUUAAUCAAUCAACCAUAACAUGGAGCGUCACGUUGUACGAGUAUUUGUUCUUAUUUAGAAACUCUUUGGAGGAUGUGGAUCAUAUGUUCCUUUCGCUUGUCAUUACAAUUACAGCCUCAGUGAUUACUUGUUUCCGCAUAAACAUUUACAACAUGGCAACGACAGCAGCCGAAAAAUUGAAAAGGCUCAAAAUCAGACCAUAACUCCUGCAUUAAUGGUGGUCCCCUGGAUGAAUACAAAAUGGAACAGGCCAUAAAUGAGCUUGAGCUUGAUCAUUCACACCUCCAAAUUUGACUUUUCUAUUAAUUUUGAUUGCGGUUGUUGCAACCUUAACAAAUCAUUAACACAUAUUGGAUUUGGAGCUUCAAUUCCUACAAACCCACAAGUUGUUCAUUUUUAUUUUUUCUCUCCUUUUUGAGAAAAAUUCUAACAACUAUGUCGGAAGAAUUGUUUCCGGUUUUUUAGCCACUAGCCUUUCCUGCAUCUUUGGGUCGAAGUCAAACGAUUAUGAAGUAGCACAAAUUGAAAUUUCUGGCUUUGAAAGACUUAUGUAGCUGAAACAUGAAAGCUUAACAUUAAAACAAGAAAUGCAUUUGAAAAAAAGGGAGGACAAAAAAAAAAAAAAAAGUGUCCUGUACAAUUAUCUCUUUAUUUCACAUAUUUUGUAACUGGGAAUUGUAUCAGCUAACAGGAUCUAAAUCUUGUGGAGGAAAAUCCUAUCUGCUGUACCGUACAUCCGCCUUGGCCGUACAGCAGUCAUUCCCUCAAUUGCAACAUAAAUUGAAUUUUUGACCUAAAAUUAUAACCCGAAAAAAAAGGGGGGGAAAAAAAAAAAAAAAAAAGUGUCCUGUACAAUUAUCUCUUUAUUUCACAUAUUUUGUAACUGGGAAUUGUAUCAGCUAACAGGAUCUAAAUCUUGUGGAGGAAAAUCCUAUCUGACAUUCUAUUUCAAACCCAUUGAAGCCAAAAACGUUUCAACUUUUUAAGCUCGUUUGUACUUUAGUGCAUGGAAAGAAAAAGGAAAGAAGAUAUUAAUUCUAUCCCCACAGAAGGGGGCCUUCUCCAUUACUUAGCUUAUCUCUGACUUUCUGUACAGGAACAAAGUCAAACAAUUUGAUUCUCGACUGGUUUCUGAAUUUUUGAACACUUGCACUUUGCCCGGUUGUCGCUGAGAGUCUGCAAACAAAACAAUUAUCAAAAUGUAAGAUUAAAAAUUGUACGGCAAGAAUGUUGAAGUUGCAAGUUUAGGUUCUUCUGUUAUUACCUUGAACUGAUUUUGAAGGUCUUUGAUAUAGUCGACGGCCAAAUCCAACAUGUCUGCUGUGUUUGUUUGCUGCCAAGAUGAAACAAAAACAUUUUGAGUAUUUGGAAAUACUAUUGUUCUGAGGUUUAAAAGAUCGGAGAAGUAAUAUGUAUUAUUACCUUGUCCAUAUUUGGAACAAGCUCUUGUAGUUUCCUCAUUCGCUCACUGAUACGGGUUCUUCUCACCUGAAAACAUUUAGCCCUUAUAAUUAACUCAAACAAAAUGCCCCUUUUGCUCAAGUUAGUUAGAUAGAUUAUAACUGGUUUCUGAAAUAGAUAUUUUUACCCUUUCAGCAAUGCUUCGAGGAUGAGUAGCACAACCACGCUUUGCUCUAAUCUUACAAGGAACAGAAUCUUGGAAUUGCAGGAACUUUUCCACAGCAGCCAUCUCUGCUGAAGUCUUAGGCAAACUCAAAUGGUGAGACAACAUAUGAACUGAAUUCCCAAGCUCCCCAUUCUGAAGAUAGAAUUUACCAAAUAGAUUAAAAUCUAACAAGCAACAAGAUACGGAGAAAAUUAAAAACUAAUAUGCACAUCCAUACCCCUUGCUCUCUUUUCAUGUCGGUAAAACUCUCCGUGAAAUGGGAUGAAUCAUUCCAAGAACCAUACGAGAAUCCAGUGCUAUAAAACUGAGCAUCACCAUUCCCAUUUCUCACUUUUCCAUGUGUAGGGCCAUCACUCUCGACUUCAGAGACCCGUGACAACAUGCCCAAAGAAGAAGGUAUCCUUGAAGGGAUGCUAAUCUGACUUUUCAGCCUUUUCGUAGAUGGACUCAGGUCUCCAUUAGAGCCAUUCACCCCACCAUAGCUUCCCACUUCUUUCGUGCUCGCAUAGCCUGCAAUUCAUUAGGUCAUUUUUCUGACUCCUAGUUAUGAUAAAAUUAUUCUUCUCAGAAGAAAUCUUCCCUAUAGAUAUAUGCCUCAUAGGGCAGCAUUAAGCCAACCAAAUUUACAAAAAUAUGACACCUAAAGGAAACUGAAUUUUGACUCUCAGUAUUACGCAUACACUUAUUAAUCUAUACAAAUAACUAUCAAUUCAUCAAUACUAUAUUAUCUUAAGACAAAAAACCAAGAAACCUAUAACGGCAUAGCCAAUUCAAUACUGAAAAUUGAAACUACUCUCAAAACAAGAAGAAUUUCAAAUAUAAAAUCUAAACAAAAACAUUAAAAAUGAAACAAAAAGAAUAAAGAAAGUAAGCAGACAAAUCUCACAAAGCACAGUAACAGAAAUAUUGAACUGAAGAAUGAAAAUACCAUUUUGAGCAGACAGCUUCGCGAAAAGUCCAGCAGGGGAGCUACUCUGCCUAACAAGAUUGGAGUUAACAGAUUUCACUUGUGAGCUUUGAUCCAAAAACAAAUCAUACGAGUUAUGAUCCAUAGCAGAGCUCUGCCUCGGAUAAUGAGGCGGCAAACCAGAACAACUUUGCUGAGAAUUCCCAUAACUGACAGGAGAUUUAACCUCAAAUUCUUGAAAGCUUGAGUUGUUGCUAUUAUCACCACCAGAGUUCAUGAAUCUUGAGAUUAAUCUCUCUGAUUCAAAACUGCUCUUAUUAACACCACCAGAUUCUAAACUGUCAGUGAAAUUUACCAGAAGCGCGGUUGGAGCAGAGUUAAAUCUUGACAACCCAGGAUUGGAUUGCUGAUGAUAAUUAUGAUUAGUACUUGAAUCCAUGCCACAAUCACUCUGUCUCCUCUGUUUUUGCUCUGUUUCGGUCUGUUUCUUAUUGAGUAAGGACUGUUUUGGUUGAGUUAAUAGAGCCAGUGAAACAUUACAGGUAAGAUUGACAGAAAUUUAUUCAUCAAGAAAAAUUCUGGGAAUUUGCUUGCAUCGCUUUCUCAAGAAAUUUUUUCAGCUUGAAUUGUAAGCAGAGUGAAGAUAAGAUCUUGAACAGGAAGCAACUUUAUCUGAAGCUUCAAAGGAUAUAUAAGCUAUAACAUGAGCAACAAAACACAGACCCCAUUUACAGAAAAGGUAAUUAAAACUUGGGAGGAACGUUGGAUCAGCUAAAAAAUGAGAAUAUUAAUAAUAAUAAUAAUGAGAAAGUAAUAAAAGAUCGCUAAUAAGAAAGAAGGUUCCUUCAGGUUUUGUAUUGAAAGCAGAGAAAGCGAGGAAGAUCUUGAGAAAGUUAAAAAGAAAAAGAGAUGGCACUGGCGGUGUUCGUGGCAGUGAAAGAUAUGAAAGAUUUGUUGAAAGGGAAGAUGAUAUUUAUUUAUCUUCUUCUUCUUGUAGCCAGUGCUCCAGUACAUCAUUCAGGGACCUUUCUUUUUUUAAGUCUGAUAUAUACAGAUAUUAUUAACAUUACAUCAGAUAUUAUAAUUAAUAUUUACAAUCAUAUUAUAUAAUUGAGACUAUCAUUAUAUAUUAACACAUUAAAAUAUAUGUUCAGAUAUUUUAAACACUCUCUAAUAUUUAAGAGGUGCCUACUCCACUCAUAUUUUGUGAGGGAGAGACUAUCUCCACUUAAUUAAUUGAUAAUUGAAGAAAAACUAUAACUAAUCUCCAUAAUACUCUUAUGGAAACUCGAACCCUUACACUCAAUAUUAUAAGUGUAAAGCUUCUCUCAUUAGACCAAAGGCUCAUUGGUAUUCAGGGACCUUUCUCAAUCUAAGUUUCGUAUAUAUAUAUAUAUAUUUUUUAUAUUUUUAUUAUUUGCCCAAAAUACCCUUUUGAUUAACCAAAGAGAAAGCGAGGUAAUUUUUUUUUCUAAAAUAAUGUUAAAUUCGUCACUAAAUUUGUGAUUGGGGAAUUUUACUUCAAACACAAUAGUGGGCGUCAUCAUUUUUUUUUUCAUGCAAAACUGCAUGGUUUAUAAAAGUUAGUUUUUAACUCUUUUAAACCGUAUGAUUUUAUAAUUCAUUCAACAACUAACUCUUUAAAAUCGUACGGUUUAAAAAUAUAUCCGUAUUAAGAAAAAUACAGACGUCCGCACCUAACGAUGAUUAUUAAACACAAUAUUAUAGUUGCUUCUUUUUUUUAAAAAAAAAAUUUCUCUUUGGUUAAUUCUUAAUUCAAACUCCAAAGAGGAACCAAAGCAUAUACGACCAUAUGCAAAAAGAAAAUGAAUCUCAAUCCAUUAAUCUUGAUUUAGAUACUAUUUUUUUUAAAAAAAUCUAAAAUACAUCGAAAGUAUCAUGUCGUCCAUAAAAUAAGAAUGUUAUGAGAUAUAUACAUUUAUUUAAAAAAAUCAUCUUAUAAGUUGUGAUUAUAUUAAAUUCAAUUAUAUAUGUCAUGCGUAUAUCAUUUGAUUAUCAUACAUUAAAAAUAUUCUAGAAUUUCUCUUAAUUUUAAUCACCUCAAUCCCAAUUUAGUAAUUCUUUAUAAUAUAAUUCUCAAGUCCUUUUCAAAUGGAAAAUCCUAGUUGAUAAAUACGCCCAUUGAAUUCUAAAUCAAAAUUUAACACAACUUCUUUAAUAUUAAAUUAUAUGGCAUAUUAUAAAAAACUUGAAGUUGGGACCUGCCUAAGAGUCCCCCCCCCUGCUGUACGGCCAAGGCGGAUGUACGGUNNNNNNNNNNNNNNNNNNNNNNNNNNNNNNNNNNNNNNNNNNNNNNNNNNNNNNNNNNNNNNNNNNNNNNNNNNNNNNNNNNNNNNNNNNNNNNNNNNNNNNNNNNNNNNNNNNNNNNNNNNNNNNNNNNCCAAAAAAAGUGCAGUAGAAAUCCGUCAAAAAUUCAAACGUUUAUCAUAGUUAAAGUCAUAGUUGAGAGAUUCAAAAUUGAAUAUAAAAAAUAAAAUAAAAUAAAGUACUUGCAAUUAAGUAAUGGUUAAUUAAAACACCAAUCAACUUUAAAAAUACAUAUUAUGAUAGCAUAAAAGUAUUCUUAGAUAUUCUACUCCAUAGUUCGAAUAUCAUCAAAUAAUUACAUUUUAAAGGCUCUAAAAAUAUGGUCAAAUAUUUUUUUUAAGUUAAAUUCUUGGAGUUAAUAAUUUUUAUUGACUUUUUCUUAACUAACCGUGACAAGACCGUGGGGUAAAAUUCCCAUCAGGCCUCUUUAUGUCGUAGAAGAAAUUUCUUUAUGAUUAAUUAUUCAAUUAAGAAAGGGGAAAAAAAAAAAGGAGUAACUGUGCGGGAGAGAGAUAACGGGGAAUAACGAAAAUAAAAUAGACGGCGUUAAGAGUUGGGAAUGGUGUCAAUCACGGAUAAGGCAUAACCGCACGAGGUGUGAAAGCAAAAGCCAGAACCUAGAAAAAAUGCUAUUGGAGGAUGAUUGUGGCUUGACGUCACCGUAUUGUGCCCGUGAGCACCAGAUUCAUGCCGCAUCUGAUUCCCGCCCGUCGUUUUCGCCCUUUUCAUCGGUUUCAAUGAUAUCACAGGCGCCGCCGCCUUUCUAUAUUUGUACCUUCCUAUAUAUUUUCCCCCACUCUUUUCUUAAUAUUUACCAAGUUGCCACUACAGUUUAUUAAGGUCAAAACUAUAUAUAAUAUGUAGAUCUUCUUCUUCUUGUUCUGGAAUUAUCUCAGCGUUUGAAUGGAUCCGGUUUAUUCUACUGAAUUAGUGGGGGUGAAAAAUUAAAAAGUUUAAUAUUUUAUUAAGAAAUAAUCUAAGAUUAAUAAGAGAAAAAAAAAUGUAAAUGUUGAAUGCGAAUCAAAUUUAUUCUAUUCUAUUCCCCACUUGAGAUAAUACAAGCCCUUUUCUAAGAAAAAUAAUUGUGGUCAUUAUGCAUUCUUGAAAUAUUUAUAAGUUGACCCUAUUAUUAAAGGCAUUUCCAAAAUAAAGAGAAUACCGCCUAUAAAAAAUCUUAUGACUAGGUGAUUUUCUAAGGAGAAUAAUUUAAAGUUUUUUUUUUGGUUCAAAAACAGAAUAAUAAUUUAAUUCUUCUGAAAAAAGAAGGACCUAAUUUGAUUUCCAUUAAAAAAAAAAAAAGAGUACUUUAAUUAUCUUUCUUAACCCUGCCUAAUAUCUCUAAAUUCUUCUCUAGAGGAGAAAAAAAAAAAGCAAAAUUUUAUAUGUUUAAAAUCAAUAGAAUUUGAUAAUUGGACAGUGUCUAAAUUGCAGGAUAAAUACAAAUAAGAAAACAUUUAUAAGUGUUUAUGUGUUUUUUUUUAAAAUUAAAUGUAAUAGAUAAUUUCACUUUAUUGUAUUGGUUGUCAAACUCAUGAUGAUCCUUAGAUUUAUUAUAAUUAAAAUCAAAGAUAGACAUCAGGGCUCAGGAGGCAGGAGUUUGCAAGUGGUCCCUCUUUCCGCUCACGGAAAUGGUGAUAAAAAUUUUUAAAAAGUAAAAAUCACAUAAAGUUUUAAUAAAACUGACAGCGAGAGAUACAGGACGAUGUUUCACAUUCAUCAAAGGCCUAAGUAAAGUAAGGCAGUGUUUGUGUGGAGGGAAACAUGGACACGUGAGAUGGCAUUUGCUUCAAAGCAUUUUUUGCCUUAUUUUAUUUCAUCUUUCAAUUAAUUAAAGCCAAAUAGUUUUUUUUUUGGGCUUUAAUAAAUCUCCAAAAAGGGUAAAAAGGGCUUUUAAUUUUUAUUUUUAACCAAAAGCCCUCUCUUUUCUGUCUUCUUAGUUGAUAAGAGUGACAUUGUUUUAGAUUUCUCCUUUAUUACUUUUGAGAUAUGGGCAAAUGGGUGCCAAAAUCCAGAAACCAAUGGCCUCGUUCUCUCUUUUGAUUCUUUUGUUUCCUUUGGGGAUUAGGGUUUUUUGCAUUUGUUGACUUCUUUCCCAAGGAUUCUUUCUAUAUUCUUUGUAUUUUUUAAUUUUGAUAAAUUUCAACUAGUAGUGGUAAAAGUUUAGAAGACCAAUUAUACAAUAGAAACUAUUGUUGUGCGUGUGUUCAGAUAAUAUUAGUUAAUUCAUAGAACCCAUCUAAAGCUCCGUUUAAUAUACAUUUUUAAAUAAAAAAAUAUCUAAGUAAAAAUUUUGUUAGUAGAAUUUUUAUAAGUAGAGUUUCUACUUUAAGACCAUUAUAGUUACAAUUGUAGUUUAUUUAGUUUUAGUCGUCGGCUCCCUAUCAUUAGGUCACCAAUUUUCUUAACCUUCUAUCAAUGAGUAGACUCAAUCCCCAUACAUAAUCUUACAACUUUGCAAGAAAUGUGGUUUCAAUAAACAGUCGACCAAGUGUGCACAUUAAUACUAGAGCUCUUAUUACAUUGCCGCUCUUUUAACUUAAUUCCAAUAUCAUAGUAGAUUUUACCGAUUGAAACUUGGUACUUGAUUGAUAUGACUUAUUUAAUUGUUAUAAUUGUUUAUUUAAUCUCAUAAACUCCUAUUAAAAUUUUCGUUGUUGUUUGGUUGUUUUUUUAGUAAAAUUUUUUAAAGAUUAAAUAAGUUAUUUUGUCUUUAUUAACAAAGCUUAAUUUUUAGAUUCUUAAAAUAAGAGAUUGAAAAGUUUUUUUUUAAAAAAAUUUUAAAAUGCAUAAAAUAUCCUUGCGCUCAAUUGUACGUUGUGAUAGAUUUUCUAUAUAAUCAUCUUGAUGAUAAUUGCAUCGAAAAUACUGAACAUUUGGCGGAAUGAAAUAUUCAUGUAUUUGUAUAGAAAAACGAAAAAUGAGUUUUUAAAAACUAUCUAUAGCCCAUUUCAACCUAUUAAUCUUAAUGUUUGCGGGUCAGAUUUGGCAACAGUGUUUAUUCAUAAAGAACAUUUUAAAUGAUGCUUGGGUCUGUCCAAGUACAGAUUUAUUUUAAUUGUUCUCUUUAUAUAACAUCUUCUUCAUUUUUUGUUUAUAUUAAUAAAGUUCAUGCAUUUGCAUUAAAAAAACAAAAUAUCCCUGUCAACGUUGGUGUAUUUUAAUAUUUCUUUUAAAUACUUUCAAUUGCUACUUUAAGUAUUAUAAUUAUAAACAGCUGAUAGUAAGAUCUAAACGCACGUUUCUUUUAAAAGCACGUUUAUUGAUGAUGUUUACUUCACAAAUGAAGGUAGGAUUGGUGAAUCAAAAUAGUGAGGUCUACCUAAAUUUAAUAAUAAAGAAUAGGAGAUUGAUUCUCAAAGGGUGUGGGAAUCAUCUUUGGGAAAAAUUCUCAUUCUACCCCCAUUAACAUUUUAAUAUUCCCAAAAUGCCCUCUUUAAAUGAAAAAUAUAAAUACCAAAAAAUUAAAAAAAGCAUAAUAAUAAUAAUAAUAAUAAUAAUAAUAAUAAUAAUAACAAUUGUAAUAAUAACAAAUAAUAUAUUAUAUUAAAAACAACAACAACAACAAUAAUCAUCUAUUACUUUUUUUAUUGUUAUUGUUACUAUCCUUCAUUUUUUUGUUAUUAUUAUCAUUAUCAUAACAAUUUAUUUAUUUUAUUAUUUUAAUUAUUAUUGUUAUCAAUUAUUAUUGUGUAUACUAUUAUUAAUAUUUUCAGUUUUAGUAUUAUUUUUAUUCUUAUUAUUGUUAAAUGUUAUAAUAGAUACAAAUACUAUUAGUAAUACUAAUUGACAAAAAGUAUUUUUAGUAAUUUGAAACAAUUCAUUCCGAUUCCAUAAUAAAGUAAACAUAUCAAUAGGAAUGGAGUUCGUUCCGAUUUUGAUUCCUAUAGCUUAAGUAAGUAACUUAUUUUGAUUCUCAUUUCCCAUUCAAAUUCGAGUCUAUUCCCAUUCCUACCCAUUCUAAUUUCUAUUCAGUAAAUGUAUCGUAAAAGUAGUUUCACAUCAUCCCUUGAUUGUUUGAUGAGCAAAACUGAGUUAUACCCAAAAAAUAAAAAUAAAAAAUUAGAUUCAUGUAUGUUACAGAUGAUGUAACUUAGCAUAAUUAUAAAUCAUAGAAUCCUAAACAUUUUUUACUGAUAGAUUCUAUUUGGGUCUGAUUUUUGAAAACCAUUCUGUCCAUCUCUACUCACCAAAUACUUUACUAGGAAAAACUAUAUUGAAGAUAGCUUCAUAAUGUGAUCAUAUAAACAGGUUAGAUUAGAUUUUUGUUCCAGGCUUUCAGUGUAGUAGAAUAUUGAACAUGGCUUUAGAAUUUGAGUUUAGAAUCGGCAAGGUAUUGGGCUUAAAAUGGAGUCACAGAGCGGAGUUCCCAACACACCGAAAGCUAUUACGAAGCCCUGCUUGCGUAUCUGUAGUUUUUCCCUUACUCAAAAUUACAGGAAAGGGCGAAAGGUAUAAUAGAGUUUUAAUUAAAUUUAAAUAUCAUGUAAAAUAAAUUAAUCAAAUUUUAAUUCAUAAUAAAAAUCAAUUAUCAGAUAAUUUAUUCCUUCAUUGUUUCAUUUUGAAUUUAUAAAAAAAUAAUUAUAUCAUUUAUUAAAAUUUAAAGAUAAUAGGCUUCAUAGUUCAUAAUUGGGUGUAAAGACAUUUUAAUUUAAUUAAAUUCAGUUUAUCCUUUUAUGCAAUUUCAACUAAUAAUAUAACCAUGUAUGGGUUUUUUUUUUUAAGGAUUUUAAUUGGGGUGUAAAAAGCCCAAGUCGGAAUCACUUUCAAAUCAAUGUCCAAGACCCACCCUAAACCUUUAUCCAGAUCUAAGGCCCAGAUAAUAAUUCGUUGCUAGCCCCCAUGAAUGUUGAAACUUUAUAAUUGUGGAGAAUGCAACAGUAUGUACAAAAUUCGACAAGUUUGUCACCUGAAUUAUUUGGUCAGCAAAAGCAUCUGAUUUUCAAACUGAAAGCUGCUCGCAUUUACAAAGUCAUUGUUUUGCUUUUGCACAUACAAGUAGCCAUUUCAGCUAUUUUUCCAAAUUUUCCUUCAACAAAUCUCUGAAGAUGUAAACUUUUCAACAGACCAAGAGUCAAGACUCGAGAUGGACAUAAAUCAACACAUUCAAGGAGAAUGCAGUUGUUAUGACAAUAUGUUAAGCAGGCAUACACAUCUGAUACAUCCAAAGAAUCCCACAAUCAAUGACAUCAAUGACCCCGAUAAAAAAACAGCAUCAAACACCGGGAAGUUGGCUACCUACUGGCUACAAUGGACAAAACUUACAAGUCACUUCCAGUUAAUUUCAUUGCAGUUUGACGCGAUCAAGACUCUCAGACACCGUUCUCAUCCUCGGACGAAACUCUGGAUCAAGUUCGGUGCAGUUGAGUGCAAUAUGGAAUGUAGCGAGAACUUGUCUCUUUGCAUGAAUUUCUUUCACAAGUGCCGGGUCUAUAACCUCAGACAAGGGACGUCUUUCACGGAAAGCUUUCCUCACAAGACUUUCUAAGCCCUUCCCAUCAUUUUCUGGUCCAGCAUCAGGCAGCCUCCCAGUUAAUAUCUCCAAGAGUACAAUCCCAAAUGAGUAGACAUCACAUUUUUGAGUGAAUUUGCUGCCAUAUAUUCGAGCCUCGGGUGCCAAGUAAACAUUAGAGAUUGCUGAAAUUCUUGAACCCGUUCCAGAGGUUACAAUGGUUUCAUUUUUCGUUACUUUAGAGGUACCGGGGAGAAGACGGUUGAGUCCAAAACCUGAGAUACAAGGAUGGAGUUCAUCAUCAAGAAGUAUUUUUGUGGACUUUAUAUUGCCAUGCACAUAUUUUCGAGGGCUGUACUCAUGUAUGUACAUUAGACCCCUUGCAGUUCCUUGAGCAAUUUUUAACCUCGCCUCCCAUGGAAGUGGUGGCAAAGAAUCUGACGGUCCCGCUGCAACAACAGUUAAAACACCAUCUUAAAAACCAAUUAGACAUUGAUUAUACUGCCAAACUUAAGCUUACUACCAGAACAGCCAUAAGAAAUUAGGGUUCCACCUCGUGCUUGUCACUUUUAUAAUGAAAAUGAUGCACCUGUCUGUCACUUUAUUGGGAUCCAUCCAAAUAAAUUAUAGUCUUUGUAUGUAUUUAUAUAAGAAAACAGUGGCAGAGCACCAGGACCACAAAAUAAAUUCUUGUAUUGAAGCUCUGUAACUAAGAUGCAAACUGGUCCGUACAAUGCAUCUAAUGACAUGUGACAUGUAUCUUAACGGAGGGAAAAAAACAAAGAGAAAAACGCCAAAGAUCCAUUAGAAUUGAAUAAAUACUGUAUCAAUGAGGACACACACUCUUUAUUAUGUCCGGUUCUCUGAUUACCAAAAAAAAAAAAAACAACAAAUCAAAGAAGUAUAAGAUUUCGAAAUGGCCAAAUUAAGAAGUGUAUCUUUAUGCAGUGAAAAAACAAGAAGCAUAUUCCAAACCCAUCAAUAUCAUGUCCUAUUUUCAUUACAAAUAUUUGGAUCCAAACAUAAGAUAUUAAAGACAUGGGCACCUCAACUUCAAAAUUUUAAACUCAAUCAUCCAAUUUCAAGAUGUUAACAAAAGAUUCAUAUCUCAGCAACACUCGUGACGAUAUUACAUCAUGGGAACGUGUUAAAAUUGUCAAAUCUCAGAGAGUUUCUUAACUCUUAAACAUGAAUUUAAACUUGACUUCCACCAAUAACAAUUGUACUAGCACAUCUUUUCAAAUGUGCAAUGGCAUUCUAAAAUUUACCAAGCUGCCUAGUUAUUUACCGUAAAAUUAAUUUACAUCUAAUGUAACCUAGAAGCUGCCUGCAUCUAAAUCUACUAACAGGGUUAUUCUCCUUGCCACUGACUCUGAUGACAGCAAAUCAGAAUUCAAGUUAUAGUGAGCCCCUACACCAAUCAUAUUACGGUUUUGAAAGGACAGAUUGACACCCGUGAUCAUCAAUCUGGGACCCAGGUAUAUCAUUAAAGAUGAUUACAAGCCAUACACUUAACAUUAAUAAUCAUCCCUACGAGUAAUUUAUUAUUUUCCCAGUCCAAUUCAACGGCUAAUAAUAACAGCAAUUAUCAACACCAUGGAAAGAGGAAUGUUACCAUGCAACGCAGCGUACAAGCUCCCGUUGCGGAUGAAAUCAGAAAUCAGCAACUUCUCGUCAUUGGCAUAGUAAAAAGCUUUCAACCGCACGAUAUUAGGGUGCUGGACCCUGGCGAUGGCCUCCACCUCGCUCUCAAAGUCCUUGAACCGCCACGUGGCAUCACCUUCAGUCAACCUCCUCACAGCCACCACGGUGGGCGCGCCCAUACCCGAUCCUCUUCCCACAACCACUUUAUACAUUAUCCCAUUCUUGCUCUUCCCCACCACGUAAGCCGAUGCCCUCAACAAAUCCUCUAAUUCCAAACUAAACCCUUCAUCGAUGAUGAAGAAUUUACCCUUUUGCCCCUCCUCCUCAUCAGUAACGAGCACGGCAUCAUUUGUCUUUUCCUCCUUUCCCAUUUUGCCCUCCCGAGCUCUUCGUUUUCUCCGAAACAGCCAUACCGAGACCGAAACGACGCCAACCACCACAGAAACGCCCGAAAUUACAGAAACUACCACUGAUCCAUUUCUCCCCCUGUCCUUUACAUCACCACUGUACCCAAAGUUAGUAUUUUUAGGGUUUUGUGGGCCGUCUUCCACUUCUGGGUUUGCAUGAACUUUGGGGUUUUCAGGUUCGGGGCAUGGACUCUGCAAAGGAAACCCACAAAGCCCGGGGUUUCCUGAAAAUGCAGUGGGUCCCUGGUUCAACAAUGAACCCACUUGAGGUAUCUCUCCACUGAGGUUAUUAUUCCUUAGAUCCAAGCUCACCAUCACCGGAAAAUGACCAUACAUUUCCGGAAUCUGGCCCGAGAACUGAUUAAACGACAAGUUCAGAGUGCCAGUGAGGGCUCUGAGGUCGAGGAGAAACUGGGGCAAGGACCCGUUGAGGAGAUUUGAAGACAAAUCCAAGUGGGUCAAAUUCUUGAGCGUUUUGAUUCGGUCAGGUAUUGGGCCGGAGAAUGAGUUGUGUGCGAGGUCGAGGUAAACGAGGUUAGUGGCGUUGAAGAGAUUGGCGGGUAUUGGUUUCGAGAAGUUGUUGCUGGCGAGGCUGAGUCGAGUGAGUGAGUUCAGCAAGCCGAGUUCCGAAGGCAUGUAGCCAGUGAGGUUUCUGUUUGGGAGGUACAGAGAGGUGACUCUGUUUCUAAUGCAGUGAAUGCCGGACCAGUGACACGGGGUCGAGUCUGACUCGGACCAUGAGUCGAGAGCUCGAGUCGGGUCCUGUGCAAUGGCUGCUUUGAGCGCAAGAAGCGCAAGGCCAUCUUGGUUCAGAGAGAAACAAAGAGGAGCUGGGAAUAAUAACAGGAGUGCGAAGAAAAGGAGUGGAAGAAGCAUUUUGGAACAAUUUGAUAAUAAGGGCUUCCACUUUAAUUGACUCUUAGUUCAUUCUGAUGAUCACUGAAUAAUUUUGCUAGUGCAACGAGGAGUUGCAAAGAGAAUGAAGAAGAGUUCGAAGAAGAAGGAGAAGGAUAUUUGAAAUUGAAUUGAAUGAGUUGUUUGGUUUAGUUUAGUGUUACCGAGGUAGCUGCAGACACCAACGUGGCUAAGCAAACGUUUGAAUUUUCUUGACUAGUGUACGCACUAUAUCCUUUUUUUAAAAAAAAUAAAUAAUUUAAAUAUUAAAUCUUAAAUCCUAAGUUAAUAAUCAUUCACAUUUUGUUCUUGCAUGCAUGCCUUGAUCGUGGCAAGAUGUGUAAUAUUUUCUGAAAAUUUAUUUAAUUUAUUAAAUUGGGGACGACAUUUUGGUGAAAAGGGUAAAAGGGAAAGAAAAGAUAAAGACAUUUGUUCAUGUCAGAAAGACAGACAGAACACGUUUUUUUACUUUUUCAGUUUCCACUAACAAAAAGGUCAUUUUAGUAAAUUCAGUUCAAGUUUGUUUUUAAAAUCAAACGAAAUAAAACGACAAUCGGAAAAAGCAGAAAUUCGUAUGCACCAAUGUCGUCUUGCGAGGUUGCGAUGCUGCUGUAGUUAGGAGCAGCCAAAUGGAUGGGUUUUAUAUUAUUUAAUUGCAAAUGACGAAAUUAACUCAAUAUUAAGCACUUGAAUUUUUAAGCAUAUGAUAGUACUAAUUUUUUAACUCAUAUAUUUCUAAUCUGAAGGCCGUGAGUUGUUAAUUUUUUUAAGUUAUUGUAUUGAAUCCGAAUCUAAUUAAAUAAUAACGUGGACAGUGAGUUUAAAUUUUGCCAUGAGUAAGCGCAGUUUUGUCAAAAGCUGUGUAAUCAACAGUCAGUAAGAAAUGACAGAUUAACUGAUGGGCCUCGAGGUUGUUAUCUCUUUACCCGAAAAAGAUUUAAAAAGAGAAGGUCCCAGCAGACUGUGAUUUCAAACACCACACCAACCACAAGAAAUUCAAAUUUGAGCAGGUGAAUAUCCAAAUAAUAAUAAAACUACAUGAGCAGGUAGUGGUUAAAAUCUAAUUCUUUAGAGUCUAGUAAAAUCUCAUGUUAAAAAUAAGUUUCGAGAGAACUUACCGAAUGAUUUUUAAAUAAUUUUAUUUAACUGAUUAUUCGAGUUCGAAUCUUAAAAUUAGGAGAUAAAAGUUUAUAUUAUCAUUUAUGAGAUAAAUGCACUUCUAGGAAACUACUAACAAACUCUAUUCUAAGAAAUAGAAACUACUAACAAAGUUAAUCAGGCGGGUAUUUUUGCCACUCCUACUUGCCCUCAUUCGAACACUCACGUUUCACCUUCAAAGAAGCUUCACCGAUUUCUCACAUUUUGCCAAAACAUAGUACGAGAAAGAGAUGAUGAUGAUCAUUGUGGAUUUUAUUCCAGAAUAAAAUAUCAUUUUUGUUAAACCAUGAAAAUCAUCCUUGCUACCUUAUUGAACUCCUUUCCGUAUAACAUUAUGCAAUACAGCUACAUGAUACGAACUUGUGUCGACUAAACUAACACAGGAAUUAAUCUUGUUUUCUUUCUAUCAAAUAUCAGCACUAAAGUUUUGAUAUACCACCUUUACGCCCCGGAAUUUGCAAAGCAUCAUAGUGGCCAAAUCCAUGAUAGAGAACCCUGAUAGGUUUUUCCUUGCCAUAUUCUUGGCCAUACUCGGCAAUUGAUAUCAGGCCGCCUGCAUCCUUAUCAUGAAUAUACACUGUGAUUGGCAUCCUGCGAUUAUCAGAAUCACUGGAUUCUGUCAGUUUAAUGAUGCAGACGACAAAUUUUAACACAAAAAAGUAAUGGAUAACUAUAUUUACACUGCCCCCGCCACCAGCAAUGAGCCAUUAUGAACCCCGUGAAACAACAGUAUCACAUUCAGAAAACCAAUAGCUCAGUUGGCUAGGGAGUGCAAUGGCGUAGGAUAGAUUUAAGGUCAAAUUCCUACAAAGCGAAAGAAAGAGAGAAACACUUACCGGAGAACAUGAGAAGCCAUGAGCAAUUCAGGCUCACCUCCCCAAACAUGUGGCUUCCUAAUCUGUGAAACAUAUAAGUCAAAAUCGCCUUCAAUGAACCUGUUGAUAUUGAAGACCACCACAACCAAGUCCAUCAGUGAGAACUCUAAAAUACGUUAAAUGGCAUCAGCAUGUUCUUUGAUAUAACAAAUGUCAUAUUAGACGUCUGGGAAGACAGUACAUGGUAAGGAUCACAUCAUAUGUAACUUAAUUCUUCUCUCCUACAGACAUGUUACUGCCUUCUAGGAAAAAAUCUGCCAGAGAUAUUGUCAUGCACAAGAUUCCUUAAAAGUUUGUUUAAUGGUUCCUCAUGACAGGGUGGCAUUCAUGAUUUUCUAUCAGAAUUUAUUUCUUUUUACUUCAUCCAAAAAUUACUCAUCUAUUUUAUACAAUUCUUCAGCUAAAAUCAAAACGAGGUAACCAUAUAAAAAAGGUAACAAUUUGACAGUGGUACAACCCAUAAAUGUACCAUUCUGUCUCUUCCCUUCUCUUUAUAAACUCAUCAGCAACCUGAAAAGUAAAAUGAAUGGGAAAAAUGAGAUUGCAUUCAAGAAUAACAGAUACCCCUUAGGAUAAAACUACAGGGGCCUUCUAGAAGGAAAAAAUACAAAAAUAAAAGAGCGAGAGAAGAGAAUACAAGGAACAUACUUUAGCCCGUAAGUCAUCAGCAAGUUCUCUCUGGAUACUCACACUUGGAGCAGGUUUCCCAGCUCUUAAACAAGCCCCAUGAGCAACAGCACGGAACAAACAUCUGCCAUCUCCAGGUAUGCCUGCAUAAUGCAUAUUAUCUAGUUAUCUACACUGGAAUGCAAGUAUUCAAAAUUAUUUCACAUGUAAAGAUUUCAGAACUAUCAACAUGAGUAGCAUACAAUUACUUGUAACAAAAAUGUAUAACUGUACGAAAUUUAGGGGUGAUGUGGCGCUCAAUGCUUACCAAUAACAGAAUAGUCAGUAUAUACUUUCUUCCCAUGUGAAUAUUUUACAUUUGACAAAUCAUAAUCCUCUUCUCCAUCCUCUUUCUCAUCAGCAGCUUCAGCAUGCGCUUUAGAACUUGAAUAACAAACUAAUAAUCCACAAAUUAAGCCAGCAGAUGCACAUCCUUUUGGCCAAUCUAUAGGUCCAGCAUUAAGCUUCAGUUUGGGAAGCACCCCUUGAUUGGGCACCAAGAGCCUCAUCUUCAUACUAUGGCAAGCCAAUGAAAUUUCAAUAUGUCUCUUUUGAGAUCCUCUUGAACCAAUGAAACUCCGAAUUGUUAAUGGCUGCAAAUUGCACCUUGGUUUGGUGAGACCAAGACUAAAACAAGUUGCCUGGAAUGGUUGCAAGACAUUAAGAGAUGAAGAAGAGAUUGUUCGUGAGAUGCCAGUAUAGUUCUUCUUAGACUGCCCGCUGCACAAAUGGAAACAACAUGAACUGGAAGGUCCUCGAUAUGUCACACCACAUAUAUUGCCACCCAUUUGUCCUUGAAAUCGUCCACCCAGGUUGACAACAUUCUUUGCACAGGCACAGAUUGAGGUAGAAACAAUCAUGUUGGCAUAGCCUGUGGGAAUAGUGUGUCAACAACAAUUUAGAUGAAUAACUAAGUAAGUGUCCAUCAAAACUAUGUCUCUAAUAAAUGAAUGUCAGUUGGCUCAAAUCAUCUACCAUUGCAGCUAUUUCAUUUCCACCAAUAUCAACUAAUUCAUAAUGUCUAAAACCACAAACAUACUUUUUACCUGCCUGCAUGCCUAAAGAAAUUAUUUUGCAUCAUAUCUCUGUCACAUAGGGCUUAAGUUACAAAACCCAUUUUGCAUUUCACACUCCUAGGCUUUAGAGUUUGGCACAAUUUCGUGUCGACCUGGGAAAGCUCAACAAGAUUUGAAGUAAGUUAUGGUCCAACUAUAGACUCAAUGCUCUACCCUCCAAGCAACUUUACGUUGAAUGUUAACCAACACAAUGGUAUCAAUUCUAAGGUGACUUAACAUGAUGUUGAAUCAACAUUCACCCUAAAGGCAUUACAUAAAGGACAUCCUUCCAUAGAACAAUGAUUGAGUAGAAACCAAAAAAGAAACAAAUAAACAAGACUAAAUAGAUCAAAUUCAAGCAUAUUUGAUUUCAAUUAAAUAUUAAGCAUAGUUAUCUCAAACAAAUUCCCAAAAGUUGAAUAAAUUAAGAGCCUGUUUGGUCCAUUUGCCAAGUAUGCUCGUAAACAGAAGUUUGAUGGACUCCUAUCAUCAUCUAACAGCCGAUAAUUCUCUAACAACCCAAUUCCAAACUCAAUCCCUUCUUUGGAGCUAGACUGACUAGAUAUUUGAAUUUUUCCAGCUUACAGAAUCCAUCAAGAUUAAGCCAUUACUAAAACAAUCAAUCAAGAUACAUGUCUAUCCACAAGCCAAAAACAAAAUAAAUCAUUGACUGUCAAAUUCUCAUUACCAGGAACAAAAGAAUUAAUAAUAUAUAAUCCACAAUAAGCGAAUAACUAACCAUCAAUAUCUCCAGCAACCACAGCUAAAAGAAGCAGAUAGAAAACAGAGAAGAUAACGAGAAAUCUAUUGAACAUUUAUUGAUAAAACAAAACAACAUAAAAUAAAUGACAAAAGUGGUGAGUUAAAAACAAAUAAUAAAAAAAAAUAACAAUAACCCAGAUAGGCUAAUGCAUUUUUCUGAUUGUUUCUAGAAGACGAAAGAAAACUGGUGAAGUAAAGAAUCAUUACCUGCUAAAGCUUUGAAUCCUUAACGAUUCAACCCACCAGAGAUAAAAUGACUUUAAUAACAACAAGCAAUGUAUAAAAUUUCUCAAGGCUUCCUUUUUCUGACUGUGAGUUGAGUUUUAUUUAAGUUCCUCAUUUUGCUUUGCUUCUCCUAUUCAUUUGGGUGUUUCCGUGCUUAUGUUUUUUAUUCUUCGAGCUGAGGAGAAAACGGUGUCGUCUAAGAAUUAUUAUCAUUUUUUAAUACAUAAAAUUCCCGAAGUAAAUUAAAUGAAGUAGUAAAUCCAAAUGGUAUGUUUUAUGCAUAUCAUAUUUGAAGUAAUAUUCAAUUCAAACCAUAAGACAGUUUGGCAACAUGCCGAAAUUAACUGGACUUGGAUUGAAUUGAAUUAAUUUGGAUAGUAUAUGAUUGCACUAAAUUAUAUUUAGUACUGUUAUACGAUUUGUGUAGUGUAUGAUUGAAUUCAAAUAAUUAAAUUAACUUAGAAUAAAAUUAAAUGUACUAAUAUUAAUCUAUUAAUUAUUAGAUAUUUAAAAUAAUUUUAUUUAUAUACAUAAACCACAGAUUGCAAAUUCAAAAAUUUAAAGAUAUAAUACUAAACAAUGAAAAUAACUACACAAAGUAAGUCUUAAUGCUUAACGUCAAAUAUAGUUCAACAAAAAUUUAUAUAUGUAUCUAAAAUAAGGAUGUAAAUCUUAUAAAAACGGGGUAAAGUUAAAGGCUUGAGUAAGUUUUAAUAUGCCAUGCUAAAGCCACGGUCCAGCUCCAAUGAUAAUAAGGAAUCUUUAAAUAGAUUUGACAAUAUUAAAAAUUUAUUAAUCUAAAGAUUGAUUUUAAUAUUUUAUGAUAAAUGAAAAUAAAUAUCACAAAUACAUACAUUUUGAAAUUGUUAUAAUAUUUCUAAUUUGUCAAAUACAUUUUACUAAUAUUAAAAUCUAUUAACCCAAACAUUUAUUUCAAUGUUUUUUAAAUACAAAUUAAAAUAAAUAAAAUAAUUUACAUUUUGAAAUUUAUUAUAAAUAUUACAAAGUUAAAUUAGUAUUAUUAGUCGGUUAAAUAGAUUUAUUGUUGUUGUUGCCGCAACAUUUUACACUGUCGUUUAGUUAAAAAUGUUUUUGAAAUAUUUAUGAUAUGAAUGUCAAAAAACAGUCACAUCCAUCUACUCAUAAUUACAAAAUAUUUGCAUUUUUCACUCACACACAAUGUAUUUUGUGUAUUUUAUUAAGAUCAUAACGAUUUUAUUUUUUUAAAAAACACCAAAUGUAUGAAAGAAGUUUAAUAAAAACAAUUUUUUUAAAACAAUUCUAUUGGUAGGAAAAUCUAAUUGAGUAAAACUAAUACAAAAUUUAAUUGUUUUGAAUGCUCAACACAAUCCAUUUCUCAAUUAAGAAUAAAUUUUUAGAUAUUAGAGGAAACUAAAUAUAAAUUAAAUUUCUAUACCAAUUUAUUAGCAUUAUAGUGCACUUUGUUAUUGCCCUAACAUUUUAGUUUCCUAACAUUUUAAUUAUCAUCAUUCCCAAAGUCAGGAAUAUUACCUUCAAAGAGAGGCAAUGGAGGAGGAAUACCUUCGGACACUUGAGCGAGAUGGACACUCAGAUGUAGGUCAUUAUGAGCCAAAAAUUCAUUAAUCAUGCCAUCUUGCUCAAUCAGUCCAUCUAGCUCACUGACGUCAUUCCCAAAGUCAAGAACAUUACCUUCAGGGAGAGGCAAUGGUGGAGGAACAGCUACGGCGGAAAUUGUUUUAUUUAAAUUAUUGCAUUUUAUUUUGCUGCUCCUAUUUGUACGUGUGCUUAUGUUUGUUCUUUGAAAUAAAAAGAGAAUCGUGUGGUUUUAAAGAUUUAUUAUUAUAAUUUUUAAAUGUAUAAAAUCGUCAAAGUAAUAAAUUUAAAUGUUGUGUAUUUUAUGCAUAUCAUAUUUAAAGUAUCUAAUAUUAAUAUUCAAUUCAAACUCAAACACAGAGAACAAUUUGGCAUGCGUCUAUUAUGUUUCAUAUUGUUUUGAUUUAUGUAGUGUCCUAAAUUAUAUUUAGUGCUGUCCUAUGAUUUGCGUAGUGUAAGGUUGAAUUCAAAUAAUUAAAUUAAUUUAUAAUAAAAUUAAAUGUUCUAACAUUAAUCAAUUCACUACUAGAUAUUUAAAAUAAUUUUAUUUAUAAACCUAAACCACAUAUUGCAAACUCAAAAUUUUAAAGAUAUAAUACGAAACAAUGAAAAUAACUAAACAAAGUAAGUCUUAAUGCUUAACCUCAAAUUUAGUUCAAUAAAAAUUUAUAUAAGUAUCUAAAAUAAGGAUUUAAAUCUUAUUAAAAAAAAGGGGUAAAGAUAAAGGCUUGAGUAAGUUUUAAUAUGUGAUGCUAAAGCCAAGGUCUAGUUGCAAUGAUAAUAAGUAGUCUUUAUAUAGAUUUAUCAAUAUUAAAAGCUAUUAAUCCAAAGAUUGAUUUUAAUAUUUUAUGGUAAAUGAAAAUAAAUAUCCCAAAUACAUACAUUUUGAAAUUGUUAUAAUAUUUCUAAUUUGUCAAAUAGAUUUUACUAAUAUUAAAAUCUAUUAACCCAAACAUUUAUGUAAGUAUUUUUAUAAAUACAAAUUAUAAUAAAUAAAAUAAUUUACAUUCUGAAUUUUAUUAUAAAUAUUACAAAGUUAAAUUAGUAUUAUUAGUCGGUUAAAUAGAUUUAUUAUUAUUGCUGGUAUUGUUGUUGUUGUUGUUGCAACAUUUGGCAUUGUCGUUUAGUCAAAUGCUUUGGAAAUAUUUAUGAUAUGAACUUUAAAAUGCUAUGGCAUCUAUCUACUUACAAUUACAAAAUAUAUGCAUUUUUCACUCACACACAAUGUAUUAUGUGUAUUUUAUUGAGAUCAUCAAUGAUUAAAAAAAAACAAAAAACGCCGAAUGCAUGAAGAAGUUUAAUAAAAACAAUUUUUUCCCCUAACAAUUCUAUUGGUAGGAAAAUCUAAUUGAGAAAACUUAAUACCAAAUUUAAUUUUUUUAGUACUCAACACAAUCUAUUUCUUAAUUAAGAAUAAAUUUAUUUUAGAUAUUAUAAGAAACUAAAUGUAAUUAAAUUUACAUACCAAUUUAUUAGCGUUAUAGUGCAAUUUGUUAUUGCCCUUCCAUUUUAAUUUUACUUGCAAUUUCUCCUCGCACACCACUCCCACACUAGUCACAAAUUAACAGCCCAAUGCAUAAUUUAUCAGUUCUAUUACCGCCUAGGAAUUGAUCUUGGCUGGUGUAUAAAUUAGGAAUGGCAAUAAAAUCCGAACACGGAGAAUUCAGAUGUAGACAGUUGAGAUCCGCACGGAUCUUGAAUAUCAAGCAUUUGAUUAAAUUUUGUUUUAAAUUAAAUAUUUUAUUUUAUUUAUAGAUUUAUGAUGUCGUUGUAUAUUAUUCGUGUUGAAUUAUUAAUUGUUGAAUUAUGAUUAAAUUUUAUUUGAUAUUAUUAGGUAAAUUAUUGAAUUUUUAAAUUAUAUAUUAAAUUAUUAAAUUAUAAUUUUUACAAAUUUGGAUAUAUGGAAUACCCGCCACAUCCGGAUCCACAUUAUUUUUUACGGAUCCGAAUAUAAAAAUGUAAAUGCGGAUCCGAAUUCAAAUGCACCUAUAUCUUGAUCCGCAUCCGGAUUCAAAUUUUGCCAACCCUAAUAAAUAAGCAAGCAAUGCAUAAUUUAUCAUGUUUCCUCUUUAGAUUGUCAAUUAAGUUUUAUUUAAAUUCCUGCACUUUGUUUUGUAUGUGUGCGCUUGUUUCUUCUAAGUAGAGAGACGCGUGGCUUAAAGAUUUAUUAUUAUCAUUUUUAAAUAUAUAGAAUUGCCAAAUUAAUAAAAUCUAAAUGUUUUGUAUUUUAUGCAUAUCAUAGUUUGGAAUGCCUAUAUUAUAUUUCAUAUUGUUUGUGAAUCGUAUAGUGUAAGAUUGGAAUCAAAUAAUUGAAUUAACUUAGAAUAAAAUUAAAUAUACUAUUUUCAUGUAUUAAUUGUUAGAUAAUUAAAAUAAUUUUAUUUAUUAACAUAAACAACAUUUUGCAAAUUCAAAAUUUUAAAAUAUAUAACACAGAAUGACAAAAUAUUAAAAAAAAUAAUUUUAUUUAAAUCUUAAAAAAAGGUUAUGGAUAAAGUAUUGACUUUUAAUAUAUGAUGUUAAAUCAAAGGUUUAACUUCAAUAGUAAGAACUUCUAGAACUCACCACAUAAGUCUUUGGUUCAAGUUUCAACAGGUAAGUGAGUUAAGAAAAAAAGAAAAAGACAAUGGUUAUAUUGGAGGUAUUUUAUUGUGGAGUAUUUUUUUGUAACCAUAUGAUUAAAGUGAUAAAUAAUAAAAAAUAUAUUAUAAUUUUGGUCGUAUGAUUAUGAAGGAGUGUUUUACGACAAAGCAUCUCCACCGUAGUCAGACCUUAAAGAAAAAAAAAUGUGAUGCUUAUGAUAAAAUAUUAAUUUUUAAAAGAAUUUACUACUAUCAUUGUUGUUUUCGUUGCUUUCCAGAUAGUCAUUUUGUUUAAUGUUUUUGAAAUAUUUAUCAUAUGAAUGUCAAAAAGUAAUGUAUCUAUUGACAAAAACAAAACUAUUCGUUUUUAUCCACAUACAACAUCAAUGCUAAAAGAAGGCCCAAUGAAUGAGAAAAGUUUAAUAAAAACAAUUUUUUUCUAACAAUUUAUAAUGGCAUAAAAAAUUAAUUGACAAAUGAUCAUAUCAAAUUUAUUUUUUUCUAGAUAUUUGUGGUACAUACAAUUUUUUUCUCAAUUAAUAAUAAGUAUAUUUUAGAUAUCAGACGGAAUUAAAUCUAAAUUAAAUUUAUAUACAUUAAACAAAAUAUACUCCCUUUUCAUUUCCUCACUCUUUUUUAUUCUCUCAAGUUUCAAGUUUGUCGUUGAAUUAGAUUUGUAAAAAUCCGACCAACCCAUUACUGAAUUAGGGAGUUAUGAUAAUUGAUUUUCUCUAUUUAUCUCAACACUGCCCAAUUUCAAUUAAUCUCAUGGUGUAUAAAUUAGGAAUGGCAAUAAAAUCCGAACACGGAGAAUUCAGAUGUAGACAGUUGAGAUCCGCACGGAUCUUGAAUAUCAAGCAUUUGAUUAAAUUUUGUUUUAAAUUAAAUAUUUUAUUUUAUUUAUAGAUUUAUGAUGUCGUUGUAUAUUAUUCGUGUUGAAUUAUUAAUUGUUGAAUUAUGAUUAAAUUUUAUUUGAUAUUAUUAGGUAAAUUAUUGAAUUUUUAAAUUAUAUAUUAAAUUAUUAAAUUAUAAUUUUUACAAAUUUGGAUAUAUGGAAUACCCGCCACAUCCGGAUCCACAUUAUUUUUUACGGAUCCGAAUAUAAAAAUGUAAAUGCGGAUCCGAAUUCAAAUGCACCUAUAUCUUGAUCCGCAUCCGGAUUCAAAUUUUGCCAACCCUAAUAAAUAAGCAAGCAAUGCAUAAUUUAUCAUGUUUCCUCUUUAGAUUGUCAAUUAAGUUUUAUUUAAAUUCCUGCACUUUGUUUUGUAUGUGUGCGCUUGUUUCUUCUAAGUAGAGAGACGCGUGGCUUAAAGAUUUAUUAUUAUCAUUUUUAAAUAUAUAGAAUUGCCAAAUUAAUAAAAUCUAAAUGUUUUGUAUUUUAUGCAUAUCAUAGUUUGGAAUGCCUAUAUUAUAUUUCAUAUUGUUUGUGAAUCGUAUAGUGUAAGAUUGGAAUCAAAUAAUUGAAUUAACUUAGAAUAAAAUUAAAUAUACUAUUUUCAUGUAUUAAUUGUUAGAUAAUUAAAAUAAUUUUAUUUAUUAACAUAAACAACAUUUUGCAAAUUCAAAAUUUUAAAAUAUAUAACACAGAAUGACAAAAUAUUAAAAAAAAUAAUUUUAUUUAAAUCUUAAAAAAAGGUUAUGGAUAAAGUAUUGACUUUUAAUAUAUGAUGUUAAAUCAAAGGUUUAACUUCAAUAGUAAGAACUUCUAGAACUCACCACAUAAGUCUUUGGUUCAAGUUUCAACAGGUAAGUGAGUUAAGAAAAAAAGAAAAAGACAAUGGUUAUAUUGGAGGUAUUUUAUUGUGGAGUAUUUUUUUGUAACCAUAUGAUUAAAGUGAUAAAUAAUAAAAAAUAUAUUAUAAUUUUGGUCGUAUGAUUAUGAAGGAGUGUUUUACGACAAAGCAUCUCCACCGUAGUCAGACCUUAAAGAAAAAAAAAUGUGAUGCUUAUGAUAAAAUAUUAAUUUUUAAAAGAAUUUACUACUAUCAUUGUUGUUUUCGUUGCUUUCCAGAUAGUCAUUUUGUUUAAUGUUUUUGAAAUAUUUAUCAUAUGAAUGUCAAAAAGUAAUGUAUCUAUUGACAAAAACAAAACUAUUCGUUUUUAUCCACAUACAACAUCAAUGCUAAAAGAAGGCCCAAUGAAUGAGAAAAGUUUAAUAAAAACAAUUUUUUUCUAACAAUUUAUAAUGGCAUAAAAAAUUAAUUGACAAAUGAUCAUAUCAAAUUUAUUUUUUUCUAGAUAUUUGUGGUACAUACAAUUUUUUUCUCAAUUAAUAAUAAGUAUAUUUUAGAUAUCAGACGGAAUUAAAUCUAAAUUAAAUUUAUAUACAUUAAACAAAAUAUACUCCCUUUUCAUUUCCUCACUCUUUUUUAUUCUCUCAAGUUUCAAGUUUGUCGUUGAAUUAGAUUUGUAAAAAUCCGACCAACCCAUUACUGAAUUAGGGAGUUAUGAUAAUUGAUUUUCUCUAUUUAUCUCAACACUGCCCAAUUUCAAUUAAUCUCAUUUAUUUUAAAAAAAAAAUUUCUCAUUAAAAUUAAAAACAAAUAUUAAUUUUUUUAACUUUUUUUCUUUUUCUCCCUUUUUCUAGAAUCACCACUAUACCCAUGUCAUCAUUAGGUGAUUUCGUUUAUGUGGAAUGUGUUUUGUUGUUUAAUUUUCUGAUUUUUGAUCUGGGUAUUCUUGAUGUGGAUACAUUCAUCAGAAAUGAGAUUGCGUUGUGGAAAUUGUGUUGUGAAUGCUUCACUAAUUUGCUCACCUUCUGAAUUGCUUGUAUUUCGAAUUUUUAUUUGCUGAUUUGAAUGAUUGCUUUGGUCAAUGGGCUUUAGAGUGAAGAUCUGGUCUUUUGGGCUGAAACUGGUUUUAUUUUGCUUUCUUGCUAAAUUGACUUUGCUUUAUUCACUUGCUCUCUUCAGAGGUUAUUAUUAUUUUUUUUUUCCCGGUUCCUUUAGAUAUCAUGAUCUGCCUAUUUUUCCCGGGAAGAGUGUUAUAUAUUGCUAAAUUAGAUGUUUUUCCCGUUAAAAUAAUAAAAUUCAGUUUAAUGGGUAUGAUGUUGAUUGCUAUACUAGAAAAAAAAAAUGCAUAUGAAAGAGGAAAGAAAAAAAUUAAAAAAUAAAUAUUUAUUUUUAAUUCUUAAAAGUGUAAUUUUGCAAAUAAAUAACAUUAAUUAGAAAGUGAGGGUUGCUAAUAAAAGUUGUAGAGUCAAAUAUCACUACACUUGAUUGGGUUGAGAAAAAUUAACUCAAUCCAACCAAAUAAACAUAUCCAACUCAAUCUAAUCUAACUCUUAAAUCAUCGGGUUGGGUUAAUUAGGUUGAUAAAAAUUAAAAAUUUAGAAAAUUCAAAUAUAAAAGUUGAAAAAUAUUCUGUGUUUAAAAUAAAAUUCACAUUAUUAAAAAAAACACAUUAAUUCUCUAUCAUAACAUUAAAUGUUGUCCAUUGGUGCCCAACGUUUAUUAAUAAACAACAUGAUGUUAUAUUUAAAUACAUGUUGACUUACUUUUUAGUGAAAAUUCGUGGUUUGAUUUCUAAUUUUUGUAUUUAGAAAAUUUAAUCAAUAUUAGGUUAAUAGAGAGAAAUUGAAAAGAAUCUCUUUUAUAAAAGAAUAAAAAUAAUCUAAAAUUAGAUUUAGCUCUUUAGGGCUUCACAGCUAAUAGCUGACAUUAUUUUUGCCUAUCGUUUUUAUUAUUCUUGAUUUGGGUGGGGUUGGAUUCAUUUAAAAAAUUAAUCCAAUCAAUCUAUAUAAAUUUAAUUAAAUUGGAUUGGAUUGAGUUCACCCACUCCUAUAUGCUGUGACAGUCAAUUUGUUAUUGGAACAUUAAAAAGUUAGGCUGUGAGGGUUUGUGGGGUGGUGCAUACCGCAUAGUGACUUGCGAAGCCAACCUCCACCUUUUCAAGUCUGUGAUUGUAUUCCCUUGAUAUAAGUUACCAAAAAUCUUAUGAAUUUUUUUUUUUCAUCAACUCCAAUUUUUGUUAUAAAUAAAGUAUGCCUCUCUAGCUAAUUACCAUAAUUUCGUUUAUGCGUGUGUUGAUUUGAUGCAGGAGUGCCCUUUCUUUACUACUACAAUGGCGUGUUCGUCCCUCUCAUUAUGUAUCUAUAUAAAUGUGACUAAGUGGGUUUAUGCGAAGUGAGAAUUAUGAAUUAAGUGGAUUUAUGUACCCUUUUUCACAACUUAUCAGGUAAUAUAAGUAAUGCACUUUUUGCUUAAUUGAAUGCCUCUAUUUUAGCUAGUUGUGGGUAAAAGUUGAUAAUAUAUUUAUAAACAUAAUUAUUAAAACUUAAUAAAUUUAUGUUCAAUUAUAUUAUUCUCUCUCUCAAAAUCAUUUUCUGUUUAUAUCAACAAAUUAUAUUAUUAAAAACUUCUCGUUCCAUUAAUAUGAAAAGAGAGGAAUAAUAAGCUAGUGCGGUUGAAAAAAAUCAACCGUAGGGUUUAAGCGAUGUGUAUAGCCCGGUUGUUAAUCAAGUUCACUAAAAUCAUAAAAUUGUCACUCGCAUAAACAUAAACAUUUAGCCUUCUUUCUAAAAACUUAAUUUACCUUUUCCCCAUUAUAGUAUUUUUUAUUGAAUUGUAUUUUUGUUUUUCUACUAUACUUUUUCAAAGCAUUCUUACUUAUACUCUAUUGUUUUUUUGUUUUUCAGGUUUAAUAAGGAAAGAAAUUGAUGUAGUUCGUUCAGUCUUUUUCAUUUUGGUUUCUAUUUGGUUACUGGAAACAUUUCUUUUUAAGGUUUUCACACAAACAUUUGUAUUAAAAAAAAGAGAGAGAUUAGAAACAAAUUCAGUAGUGUUUAUAAUAUCUCUUCUUUUUAAAUGUUUUUGUUGAUGUAGAAAUUUGGUCGUUUGGUUGCGACCAGGUGCCUAUGCCAACAGUUGAAUUUUGUUUUUAUGGAAGACGGUACUUGCUCGCACUUACUUCCCUCGAGCAAACACGAAUGACCACGUGCACUUCUUGCAGAAUUUACUUUUGUUUACAAAAACAAUUGGGGCAUAAGCUUUUCUCUCUUGCAGCUUGAUUCUAAUUAUUUUAGAAAAAAGUACUUAAAAAGGAAAUCUCAAAAAAAUUGAAAAAGUUCUCAGAAGUGGAAAAGAGAAAAAAAAAAGUAGAAAACCCUUAGAAAGAGAGAAAAUAUUUAUUAGAUUUUGAAUUUUCUAGAUUCUUUUAUAGAGAAUCGAAACUCCCGUUCCUGGAUAAAGGGGAGUAGUCGUUAGUUGAUUAGAAUCGUGGCCUGAUCUUUUGGAGAGAAUCUUCGAGUUGACUCUUGAUCAAAUCUUUAUGUUGACUCCACUUAAGUCAUCUCCUUGCAAAAUCCUAAUGCAAGCUUGCCUAUGUAUGAGCAGGCCUGCAAAGCAACCUGCCAGCUAUAUGAUGACUAAAACAGACUAUUUCGAAGCUCAUUUGGAUCCCAUCUUGAGAGAGGCAACUACUAACUCUAAGAUCGAGGAGAGCAUGAUUUGCAUGGAAUUAUGUUCAAUCAUGCUCCCUCUUUGAUCCACCAAACAUCAGUCCCCUAGUUUUAGUGUUGCGAUUGUAACGAAUCAAGACUGAAAAACUUAAAUUGUUGUGUUCAGACCAACACCUCCAGCCAUUCGUCUUGAAAAACAUUAAGCUACAAAGGUUGCUCUUUUGCAAGAUCUCAUCUCAACCCACUUCGUGAAGCAGUUAACUGCAAUAAUAGCAUAAGCAACUGCUCCUCAUCCUUUUGGUAAUGGUCCGAUCAGGUCAAUCUCCUACUAUGCAAAUGUAUAUGGCAAGGAAACUAUGGUGGGCUUCUCUGGUGCUUGUGUCGGAUAACAGGCAUCUUAAUAAUUUUUACAACACCUGGUUUUCUUUUGAGCGUCUUGGUGCAUCAUUGGCCAAAAAUACGCUUGCUUAAGACCUUAAAUACUAAAGAUCUCACCCUCGAGUAAUUUCACAGAUCCUUUCACGAAUCUCCCUCAGUACAUAAUCUGCUUUAUCUUCAUCUAAGCAUUGGUGGAAAGGCAAUGUAUAUCCCCACCUAUACAAUGCCCCGUCAAUCAAUGUGUACCUAGAUGUUUAGAGCUUGAGAUUUCUUGCGACAAUAUUCUAUCUCGAAUGUAUGAGAUUAUCGGAGCAAUCCAUGAGCUCUGCUCGUCUAUCCUUAUCACAUUUGCUCCUUGCUUAAUGUUUGGGGAGGUUUUGACUUCCAUUGGAACUGACUUAGGCAUUCUCACAUAUGACAUAGCAGCCAUUCUUGCCAGGAUAUCUGCUCAGAAAUUUUGUGCUCUUGAAAUUUACUCGAUUUCAACAACCUCGAAUUUCUUCAUUAUUUGCCUAGUCUUCCUCAAAUACAACUCCAUCUUCCACAUUACUCAAAUCAAGAGUAGGUUGCACUUUUUCUUUAAAAAUCUUAGAUAGAUUAAUAAUCUUAUCGUCUUUUAUUUCACAACUGCAAAAGAGAUGAUCCGACAUCAUUACAAUGAACAAAGUGGUCUUCCAUUAAUUGUCUUAUAUCAAACCAUCUUUGAUUUCUUCUUGCCUUGUCGAUGAGACAGUUUGAAGAAAAUCAUCUAUCAUGCAUAUCUAGUCAAAAAUAUCAUUAAAAUUACCAUCAAAAUAUGGAUAUCUUCGAUGAACUCAAUAUUCUAUUUGUAUCAUUUUUCCCUCAAAUUAAAAAUACAAACAAUGGAAAAAUUGUAAAUAAGGCUCAACUCUUGGGUUUAGUGUGGCUAGGGGCUGGUGGUCGUGAUUUAGACUAUUGAUGAUCGGAUCUAAUGGAUAUGGUGGUAAUAAAUGCAAGGGUGACGCCAAGUUGAAUAGAAUAAUUGUGAUUUGGUUGGAAAACUAACUUAAAAUGGCGACUGUGGUGCUUGGUUGCAUUUUCACUGCGACUAUUACGUCGGCUAAUCGGAUCUGGUGGUGGCUUGGAUUAGAUGUACAGCAAGAGGGGAGUUCGAUGAUGGUGUUGCUCGUUGGUAAAGGAGGUUGGUUUCGCAGCGGCGACUGAUGAAGAGCUUGCGAGUUUUGGGUUAUUCACGUGAUGGCUACACGGUUGAUCAACGACAAAGGACGGUCGGGUUUUUGUCAGUGACUGGUGGAGGUUAGAGUUUUGUAGAUGGUGGAGGUUAGGGUUUUAUAAUUUUGAGAUUUUCAUUUUUUUCUAUUUUUAUUUUUUUAAUUUUUUUGGAUAAACAAUGAUGGAUUUGGUGAAGAUGGCUAUGGCCUAUGGGUAGCCAGAAAAGCAGUGAAAUUGUUACAGAAUCACUCAAAUAACAACUAAUGAAACGAAAACCUUAAAGGUUAAAGGUGGAUGAAACAAAAAUUUCUAAAUAAUAAAGUUUAUUGAAUAAUUUUGAAUUGACAAGGUUAGGGUUUUGGACCUUUAUAUAACAACCCUAAAUAUUACAAAUUUACCAAAAUAGACAAAUCUGAAAUAUUAUUUUAUAAUAAAAUUCUCCUAAUCUAAAUUAGAAAAGGAAAACAAAUGGUGUCUAAAUUUGAUUUCUUAAAAAAAGAUAAAAAUUCUAAAAGAAAAAGAAAAAAUAGGAAAUAUUUUAAAACUAGAAAAUAACCAAGAAAAAAGUGAAAAUUUUGGCUCAAUCAUGGGGCAAAAUGGCAUAAGCAUUUUAGGUUUUUUUGGUCUUGUCACAAGCUUUGAAACGAGAUAUUAUAUGCCGAAAACUAACACUUAAAGCUCAAGUUAUGCCCUCUUAAAGGUACCCCGCUCAUAACACACAACCAUCCUACAUCAUUCAACUUUGGCUUGUCUUACAAGUAACAAAUUUAAGCCGCCAUGACCUUUGCAUAUCAAAUGGUUGAAUUAUUUGAGAUUUAUUUGUGCAAUACACUUUGUUGGCUCACACAUCUACAAAGAGGAAAAUUCAGUGGCUGAUAGUGUUACUAAUUAAUUUGGGAUUAAAUCUUAAUGCUUAUAAUUGAUGGAAUAAUCCUCAUAUUUCAAUUUAUUAGAGCUUGCAUGAGAAUGCUUGGGGUCCCCCUAAGUAUUGUUUGAAAUGAGUGAUUUUGUAUUCUUUCUUCUCCUUUUUUUUCUUUCCUUUUUCCUUAAUAAAUUGAAUGGAAAAUAUUUAAUAGUAUGUUGUAGGCCCCGUUACUUUUAGCUUUUGUUAAUAAAAACAGAAGUCAGCAUAUAAUAUGAUUUGUUGAUUUUAUUGGUACUGAAAGCUAAAGAUUUUGUGUAUAUAAUUGUGUUAAAAAAAAAAGUUACCAAUAGUAUCCCAUUUUUAAAGAUUUAUAAUGAUUGUUUUUCAUUUAAAAAUAGUGAAUUAUGAUUAUUAUUUUAAAUAAAGUAACUAAGAUUAGUGUUAAUUGAUUUUUUAUAUAUAUAGUAUAUUUUUAUUACAGGCACUUUUUUUUUUUCAUAUAGAUAUACUUUUAAACUGGAUGUUUUAAAAGAAUUAGUUUUUAAUACACAUGCUAUUUUAGCAAUUGGUGGGGACUUGAUGCCAAUUUUUUUUUUUUUUUUUUGGAUUUUGGAUCUUAAAACUAGGGUUUCUAAUGAAACAAGGGUCAAUUAUUGUUUGUAUAAUCAAAGUAUUGGCGAGAUGUUUUGUAAUGGAGGUAAUGUCUGUGGGAAAGGAGGUUUUUAUUGUGAUUAACACAGAUUUACAUAAUAAAGGGUAGCAGCAUAGCUGCCCCAAACGCUUGCAAAAACCAAAAUAAUUUUUUUUAAUUUAUAAGAAAGUAAACCUUUCAUUCAAUUAAGAACAAUAAUGUCCAAUACAAUUUGUAUUCUGCUGGAAAUGAUUCUUUCCAGACUGCAGAUGUAUCAUUCUCUAGAGCGAACUUCGCUAGAGAAUGGGCAUGGGCAUUACAAUCUUUAAGGACAAAAACAAAAUUAACAUAUUGAAAAUCCCUUGUGAGGUGCUGGAUAUCGGAAAUAAUCCAGUGAAUUGCUAUUCUGCUGCCCUUUGUGUUCUUAACAAGCUCCACCAUAUUCUUACAAUAUGAUCCAAUGAUCACAUAAGAUAGAGCUACAUUUUUUGCCACUUGAAGACCCCAUUCAAUUGCUUCAGCUUCUGCAAUACUUACAUUUUCCUGUAAAUAAGACUGGUUUAUACUAGCAGCUACAAUCUUGCCUUCUGAAUUGGUUAUAACUGCUGACAAUCCCACCUUCUUGUAUUGAUUGUUAGUGGCUACAUCAACAUUGAUUUUAAACACACCUUUAGGGGGAGGGAUCCACUUCUGCUGCUUUUCCUUUCUCAAGUUGUUAAUAUGAGUUGAUCCAGUUUGUCUCACUCUAUGACAAGCUUCCAACAUCGAUUAUGCCUUGCUUGCUGAAAUCUUACGAUCAAUUUUCUUGCCUUAAAAAAUAAACUUAUUUCUUGAGAACAAAAUUACCCAACAAUUAGCCACCAGAAGCUCAAUGUCAGUUUUUCUCCAAUUUUUGCAUGUCAUGGAUAGAACUGAAAAUGCCGAGAUAAGGAGCACUUUGAAACUGAACUGUAAAAAGGGCUAGACUCUAUAUCUUUUUUGCCGAUUUGCACUCCAUCAACGCAUGGCUUAUGGAUUCUACAAACUUGUUACAUCAAUGACAAAUUGGAUCUUGAAUAUACUUCCUUUUCCAGAGGUUUUCAGUUGUUGGCAAAAUGUUUUUUUUAUGCUUUCCACAUGAAAAUCUUGAUCGUCUUAGGCAAGUCAAGAGCCCAAAGUGUCUUUCAUUGACUGGAAUUGCUUUCUAAGCUGCUCGGUUCAUUUGGGGAAUUAAAUUUGAGGGCUUGCUGAUAUCCAAUUUUCACAGAGUACUCCCCUCUUUUAUCGAAAUCCCACAUCAACUCAUCUUCUUUUUGUCUUCUAAGGAAAGGGAUUCUAAGAAUUGCUUCUACAUCUUCUGGCAUGAAAUGUUGCUGCAACUUUUCUAAGUCCCAUUUGUUUUCCACAUCCAUAAUGUCAGCUACUACAGCUUCAGCCGGCAAGAAUGGGGAAGACAUUAGUUUAAAUGUAUCAGGCCUUGGGAUCUAUAUGUCCUUGUAAACUAGAAUGCUUAUUCCAUUUCCCACUCUUCAUCUGAUACCUUGGUUGAGCACCUGUCUUUCCCAUAGAAUGUUUCUCUAGACAAAAAAUGGAUUGGACCCUGCAUUUGCCUUAAAAAAAGUAGAGUUCCUAAAAUAUUUUACUUUUAAGACUUUGGACAUUAAAGAAUUAGGAAAUUGGAUAAUUCUCUAUCCCUGCUUAGCUACUAGAGAUUGAUUAAAACGGAUGAGAUCCCUAAAUCCUAGCCCACCUCUACUCUUUGUAAUGCUUAGCUUAUUCCACUUAGACCAAUGGAUUCCACUCUUGUCUUUUUUCGAACCCCACCAAAACUUUGUUGUGGCUCUUUGAAUGUCAUCGCAUAGACCCUUUGGAAGCCUGAAUACACUUAUCGCGUACGCUGGGACAGUUUAGGCUACGACCUUGAUAAAGAUUUCUUUCUCCUCACUUAAGAACCAUUUUUGUUGCCAACUUGUAAUUUUUCUUAUCACCUUGAGCUUGAUGUCAUUGAAGAAGCUUAAUUUCUUUCUGCCAAUCAUAGAAGGGAGACCUAAAUAUUUUUCAUACUUGGAGACAACAUUAAGAUUAAAGAUGCUCUUGAUUUCUGAUGUGAUACUAGCUGGAAUUUUGCUCCUAAAAAACAUGGAGGAUUUCUCGAAAUUGAAGAUUUUCCCUGAAGCCCCUACGUAGCAGUCAAAGAUCCCUUCAAAUGCUUGCAAUCUGACACUGAGGCCCUAGUGAAGACUAGGCUAUCAUCUGCGAAGAGGAGGUGGGUUAUUGUGAUCUCUUUAGCAAAUCUCAGACCUCUGAUCUGCAGCCUUUUUUUUUGCAUGCACUAAAAGACUUGAGAAAGCCUCUGCACAUAUAAUGAAGAGGUAUGGGGACAAGGGACAUUAUUGUCUAAUACCUCUUUCAGGGACUAUUAAGUUCUUUGGAAUAUCAUUUAUAAUUAUGGAAAAUGAAACAAUAGACACACAAUUCAUAAUCAAUUUUAUCUAUUUGUGAGAAAAGCCAAGCUUUACAAUGGUUUGAUUCAAGAAACUCCACUCAAUUCUAUUAUAGGCUUUACUAAUGUCAAGCUUUAAGGCCACUAACCCAUUUCUUUUCCCUAUACUAUGUCUAGUCUUGUGGAGGCAUUUGUAGGCAAUAAUGACAUUGUCUGUAAUGAGCCUAUUGGAUAUGAAUGCGCUCUGUGUUAGGUGUAUGAUUUCGGAUAGAAUUGGUUUCAACCUAUUGGCUAUAGCUUUGAAUAUAAUUUUGUAAAUCACAUUACACAAGUUAAUUGGCCUAAAUUCAGAGACUUUCCUAGGCUUUUCUGAUUUGGGAAUAAGGGCAAUAUAAGUAUAGUUGAAGGGGGCUAGAUUACUUUGGUCAUUUAGGAUGUGUAGGAAGGUAUCGAUUACCACUCCCCGAACUAAUAACCAGUGUUUCUGGAAAAAUGCAGCAGGUAAACCAUCUGGGCAUGGAGCCUUUAUUGGACAUAUUUAGGAUAAGGCAUUUUCUAUGUCCUCUAGAGUGAAAGGUUCUUCUAACUGAGCAUUUAAAUUUGGAGUUACCUUUGGCAGCAGUCCGUUUAAAGCUUCUUCAAUUCGGUUCUGGCUUGGCUUAGAUAAAGCGAACAUAGUCUGGAAAUAAUCACAGAAUUCCCUCUCAAUUUCUUUCUGACUAUCCAUCCAUUGCCCUUGAGCAUUUUCAAUUCCCCAUGUUUUAUUAUUUCUCUUCCGAGCAAUAGCUUUAGAGUGAAAGAAUUUUGUAUUUUUAUACUCUUCUCUUAGCCAAUCUGCUCUCGAUCUUUACUUAUAGUACACCUCUUCAUCCAUCAACAUGUUAUUGAUCUGGUUUUCAAUUUUUCUGAUCUCUACUCCAUCCACACACUGAGCUUGGUUCUGUUUAACAUUCUGCAAUUGCUCUAUCAGUUGAUCUAGUUUCAUCUUCCUACCAUCAAAUUCAUCUUUGCUCCAUACCUUCAAUUAAGGUAGGGACACUACAAGAAAAAAGGGAUUUAACAACGUGUAAUUUACGUUGUUGAAGGCAUUCAACAACACUCGCGUGCAUGCUGUUAAUGUUGAGGUUGUCUUAAGUUGAAUAUUUUCAACAACAUUCUCUGCGCGUUGUUAAAAGUUUUUUGCUUCUUGUUAAAAUUUAUUUAGCUACAUUCAAUAAAUGUGGCUAAAACCUUAUUUUGCUUGUAUAUUUUCAACAACAUGUAGACAACAGUUGCAAAUAACAUUUCGCUUUAAGAAUACACACACACAUUUUCAUUAAAAGCUCUACACGUUUAUUAAUAUACAAAUUAAUAAAACUAAUAAUAUAUUGAUAUAAAAGAUUCCAUUAACAUCCUCUUGUAAUUGUCAAUACAAUAUUCUUAACAAUUGUGAAAUGUACAAGAAUUUAAUAACGCAAAAUAGUAAUUCUUAUAGUAGUCUCUUUUUCUCAGUGGUAAUUGAUCAAAAUAUUACCAAAAACUCUCAACCAAAUCCAGUUCUUCAAUCUCUCCAUGAUAGCAUUAGCAAUAAACCUCAAAAUCUCCCAAAGUGAUCAAUUCCUGCACAAGCAAGACCAAAUUCACUAAACAUUGAAAAUAAUUUAACACAAGCAACUAAUAAAAAAAAAUCAGCAAUGGAUAUUACAGAGAUGAAUUUAGUUUUGGUACAAAAAUUUAAUUGAAUUGUGACAUGUUUUGUGAUAGGUUUCUUCUAUCAUAAAUUUGUAUUUAAAAUAAUUAUCAAAAGUUUUAAUUUUCUGUAAUUCUCUACAUUGUAAAAUUUAAAUUCUACAAUUGAUAUAAAACGAACAAAAAAUAAAAUACUAUCAAUCCAAAAAAUUUAUAAUAUUAAUAAUAUAUUAAUCCUCGUACAAAAUCUCAAACGCAUUAGAACAAAUGUAUAGUAAAAAAGAACUACAUCAACAAAAUGACAUUUAGUAAUCACCAUUCAAAUUCAACUUGCAACUUAAGUUUCCCAUUAACCUCAAGAAUACAAGGGCGGUUGGUCGUGCCACAAGUGUCGUAACUCCAAAUGCUAUUCCUGUUAAGAUAAAAUAGGUAAAAAUGAAAAUUCAAAUUAAAGGAACAAUACCAUUUAACUAUCAUCGAGGAAUGAUGCAUUAAAUAGGCUUAAACUUCUGACAGUGGCUUACAUUUUUCAAGAAACUACAUGAUAUGUAAUGACAUUCUGAUAUGGUUUGAAAUACAACUAUCAAACUUCAGUUAUUUGAAACAAUGAUUAAUUUAUUUUGGAAAAAAAGAUAAAUCAAACUUCAGUUAUUUGAACCAAGAUCACAAUUAAAAACCUAUAGUAUUUGUUGCGUGCCAUGACUUUUAAUUCAAUAGAAUGACUGAAUUAAAAAACCAUUAAAAGUAAUUAAAAAAGAAUUAAACUUCCACUGAUUUCACACCAAUUCCACCUGCAACUAGUCUGCCAACUUCUCUGCAAGUGUAACAAAUAAAGCAAGUUCUGAUAAAACCAACAAUAAUAAGAAAAAUAAUAAAAGUAUGAAGUUAUAAUUACACAUGAAUAGAGUAAUGGCUCAUGUAGUCAGAAUACAAUGAAGAGUCCAAAAUCCACCAAUUAAUUAAUUCUAGCCUCAAUUUCAUCACUGGAAGCAUGGGGACAACUGAACUGAGGUUUCCACGAAGGUCUUAAGCCAUGCAGGAAUUAGAAGCUAUUAAUUAUAUUUUAUAUGUCUACUUGUCACAUGUUGAUAUAAACAAGAAUAGAGAGAAUAGAGAGAAUAGAGAUGUAGAUUAAAUGAUACCUCAGCAGGAACCAUGGGUGCAUUUACAGCCGUAGCAGCUAGCUCCCAUUUCAGGGUCCCAACAAUAGCUUCUGAUAUUUCAAUGGGCAAACCUUCCUGAUAUGUAUUUAUUGAUAAAGCAUAUAUACCUGUGCCUCCAUAGUGCUAGCACCAAGAUGUGGAAUCCCAGCGAGGUUUCUUUUCUUCUUAGGUGGCUACUGCAGCUAAAAUCAGAAAAUAAUAAUACCAUCAAAUUUGAAUUAACAAAUUAACUAGAUAUAUUAGAAAUUAAAUACCUCAAAAACCGAAUCUAGAUCAAGUGAGGAAUCGGCUGGUGGUCGCGAAUUGGGAAAUGUUGAGGUUUUAAUUGGGGGAAUUCGAGAUAAAGUGAAAGAAAUAGAGAACUGGGAGGCAAAACGAAACUGACCAAACUAGGAGAGAGUGAAAACUGCGACAGAGUGAUGAGCCAAAGGCGAGUAAAUCCUGACUAUUCAUUGCAAGAACUUUGACGCGACGGCAACGGACUAUGUUUCCUCAACAAUACAUCGAACGCGACAGCAAUGGGCUAGGGUGUUCAAACAAUAUUACCAGCAUGGCAGCAACAUACUUGAACGGUGAUAAAACGACACUGUUUUCUCGACUGAUUGAGUGCAGGAUUGAUUUUUUAGGGUUUGGCCUUGAGAGAGUGAUGGGUGUUUGGGUAAGAGUGUUAGAUGGAGAGAGUGCUCGCGAACUGGGGGUAUAAACAUUAGGGAGGAGCAUUGGUCAUGAACGUUAAACGCACCGUUUUUGUUUCACAUGUAUAUAUGUUAAAAAGAAUUCCAUUUUAAAACACAUUUCGUUCUUUGUCUCGUAUUUUUAUUUUUUUAAUUUUACAAUAAUUAAUUAAAUUUUUUAUAUUUUUUUUACUAAUUUAUUAACAAUCAAAUAAGUAAUAUUUAGUAAUAACAAAAAGGCAAAUAGAUAAUGUGAUUAUUGAUUGGCCAUUUCAAAUUAAUAUUUGAUAAUUUAGUUGAAUUAAUAUAUAGAUAAUUAAAUACUAAACAAACUCUAUUAGCGGCAUAACAUUUAUCUAUUAUUUAAUUGGAUUUUACUUAAUACAAAAUAGGAUUACAAAAUCUGAAAUCUACUCUAAUAAGUAUUUAUCAUUUAAUUAAUAUAUUCAAAUUUUGAAUACCAAAUCCUAAACUUUUAAAUUGAAUUAUUAUAUAAAAAAUCACUUAUUAUAUGAAAUUAGUGCUUUGUUAUUAUUAUUUUUUAGGCUUUGUUACUAUUAUAGACGUAAAAAUGGUAAUAAAAAUAAUCAAGUGAUUAACAAAAUAUUUCACAACAUACUAAGAAGCAUGCUGUUGAACAUAAAUAACAACGAGCAAAAGAAAGUUGUGAUAUAUUUUUAUUAACAACGUAACCUAUUUGAAUGUUGCUGAAGAUAAAACUUUUAACAACGUACUUAGUUUGUGCGUUGUCAUUUGGUUUAUGAAAUCCACCACAAACAUAAAAUUAUUGUGAUAAUGUGUUUAACAACGUGCCAUUACGCACGUUGUUAAUGGUAAACUUUUAGUAACUUUUAGCAACAUACGAUCCUAAAACGUUGUUCAAUACCAUAUUUUACAACAAGCAUAGCAUGCAUGUUGCUGAAUUCCUGUUGUCUUAUCUCAUUUUUCUUGUAGUGGGAUCUUUUAGCCACUCUUUGGAACUGCUGUACAAGGUUCUCUCAAUCCUUGUCACCUAGAUUAACCAUUCAUCCCACACAAUAUUUUUACAUGCUUCAUAGCUACUCCCCAUAUCUUCAUAGUGAUCUCGAGGGAAUGAUCUUUUUAUACACUUAUCUUUCUUGCUUUUGUCUCUUAAAAAAUGAUUGGGCAGUGAUCUGAGGUCCAGUUAACCAAAUUUGUUUUAGAGAGCUCCUGAAAAUUAUUGAUCCAAUCCUUACUACAGAGGAAUCUAUCUAAUCUUUCUUCAAUGAGAUUUGGCCCGAAUCUCUUAUUUGACCACGUGAAUUGGCUUCCUUUAUAACCCAUAUAAAUUAAGUUGCAAGCUUGAAUAGUUUCUCUAAAAUCAGCCAUCAUGGUUAAAUUUCUAUCAUUUCUUCCAGCCUUCUCAUACAAGUGCAGAAUUUCGUUGAAAUCACCAAAGCAGCACCAAGGGUAGGUAAAAAGACUUACUAAUCUUUCCAAGAGGGUCCAAGUAUGAUGCUUCUGAUUAGAUUUGGGAUGACCAUAGAUACCCGUGCCUCUUCAUAGCCUACCAUUAUCAUUUUGCACCACUGCAUCUAUAUAGUGAGAGCAAUAGGAUUUUAUAUCGACAAUUACAUUUGAAUUCUAGAAUAGAGCCAGACCUCCUCCCAUUCCUUUUCUAUCAACUAUAAAACGAUUCCCAAAAUUAAAAUUCCUAUAAAUUGAGUUUAUUUGCUGAGCAUCCAUCUUUGUUUCACAACAAAAGAAAAUUUUAGGCUGUUGUAGCUGAAACUACUAGGUGCGUUGGAGGCCUCCCCAGACCUCGAACGUUCUAGCUUAAUAUUUUCAUAGCUGCCAGCGAGGCUGACAUUCAGCUCCCGCCGGUGUAUCCUCCACCAUAGCUUCAACAUCCGCUCUUUCACCUUGCUCUGCAUCUGAUAACUUCAGCUGGAAUUUUAUUUGAGAGGGAAUAAAUUGGUUCCAGUGCUUACUGAUUUUAAUGGGCUGAUGAGUCUUUUUUUCUUGCUUUCGAGACUCGGCCACAUGAGCUCACUGUUGGGCCUUUUUGAAUUAAUAAGCCCAUUGUGACUUUAUUUUUUCCGUUUUUAAGUUUCUAGCCUGAAGCUUCCAUUUUCUGGUCUUGCGCUUCACCUUGGCUUUAUCAGGCCCAUUAUCUACUUCUUCCUCAUCUGAAUUUGAUAGCCCAUUAUCAGAGUUUCUUUGGCUUCCCUCUCUUGCUUCAUUUUCCCUUCAAAUCUCCUUUCUUGCCCUUGAGUUGUUGUUUCUACGGGGGCUGUCAUUGCCAACCCUUCUAGUAUGCCCGUUGCUGAUCUCUCUGUACUCUUUCUGAACUUCUGGUUGCAGUUUUUUGGCUUUUUAAUGCUAAGCAUUAAUGAUGCAUCAUCGUUCUUUAGCCCAUGGCUUGUACCCUUUGGUUCAACCAUAUUACCCAUCUUAUUGCCUGUUUUGUCUAGAUUGGCUACCAUGGUGCUCACUCUCAGCUGGGAUUGAUCCUGUUUUCCUUUCUCCUUCAUUCGACUCUGUUUUGUCCUUUUUACAUACGUGAUAACUCUUAUUCAUCCUUCAUACAGCUGGCCUUUGUACUUCAAACAUUCCCUGUCUUGAUGGGCUAUGUGCACACUACAAAAAUAAAAAUCUGGUAAUUUUUCAUAUAGGACUGGCAUUGAUGGAGAUUCUAACUUGAGCAAAUGGACCCAUACAUUCACAUGCAUUAUCUGUUUCAAUGUCCUCUACCUUACCAAUCUUCUCCCCAAACUUCAGAAUAGCCUCUUUCUCCAUACACAUUAUGGGUAUGUUGUGAAUAUGUACCCAAAAUGAUGUAUGUGUAAAGGACUAUUCAUUUAUAUCUACAAUGCUGCUCAGUUCAUAUAGCACUAGUAAUGCUCUGUCGAAAUGCCAUAGACCUCCCAUAAGGACCCUCUUCUUUUCCCCUUCAGACGCAAACUUGAACAGAAAGAUAUUGUCCCCUAUGCUUUCAAUUUUUACUUCCUUAAUUGUUCUCCAGGCCAGUUGCAUUGCUGCCUUUAAUCCAUCUCUGUUGACCCCUCUUGUGAGUAAAACCUUCCCCACUAAGCUAUUUGCCGCAAUUUUGUCUCCUUUUAUCUUUAUUCUUCCCAUAAAAGUGACAAUGUCUUCCUCUUCCUCUUUAAGAGCAACUGCUUGGCAUUUUCUUAUUAACUCCUCUGUAUCCAUUUUCCACAAUAUGCUUAUUCCCUGAAUUUAAGAGCUAUCGCCCACUUCUCUGCCACUAAAAUUAAAGACUGAAAAAACUAAAAAAAAUCUUUCCCAAGGCUUUUGGAUUGAAACCCUGUAAAAGAUUUCUCAAAAGAAAGGAAAAGAAAAAGAAAAAGGAAGAAGAAACACCUAACCUGUAGGUGAUUGAAACAAGCCAUAAAGGUUGUAAUCUACUUCUAUUCUGAUACUUUUUUCAGAGAAAAAAACAUUGUAAAAGGAAGAGUGGUUAGAUUACGGAUUUCGAGUAAAAUAAUGUUUAUUUAAUUAAGUAGUUAACCACUUAACUUCAAUUUCUUUCAAAUUCAGUUACAAAGUCUCUUUUGGAGAAUUUAUUAGGUCGUUGAUUUUUAAUAUAAUUAAAAUUAUACUAUUUACAUAAUAAUGGAGGUAAUGUCUGUGGGAAAAGAGAUUUUUACUGUGAUUAACACAAAUUUACAUAAUAAAAAACAAAAUAAUGUUUAUUUAAUUAAGUAGUUAACCACUUAACUUUAAUUUCUUUCAAAUUCAAUUACAUUCUCUUUUUGGAGAAUUUAUUGGGUUGUUGAUUUUCAAUAUAAUUAAAAUUGUACUAUUCUCUCUCAGCACUCAUAAAUAAAUAUGUUAAGAUUUUUGUUAUAGACAUCACCAAAAUUAUAUUCCAUCAUCAAAAUCACCUUAAAUGAAUCUAUUAAAUUGAGAAGAAAGCUCGUAUUUGGUAACUAAAUUUCUCUUAUUCUUUAUUCAUUUAAGGUUUUUUUUUUUUUUACAAAUUCUAUUAACUCUAGAUUUACACUCAAUCUCGUUUCUUUACUUGGAAAUACUUGGUAAUCGAAACCCUAGAUUUGAACUCAAUCUCAUUUCUUUAUGAUUUAUUGAUUCGAAACCCUAGUUGAUUGAGUUGAUUUAGUUGUUUAUUUGGCUUGAUUUAAUUGAUUUUGACUAAUUUCUAGCAUGUCUAAUUGAUUGAGUAGUUGAUUGAGCAUGUCUCUGGUCUAUCUUGAUAGAUUCUUAGAUUAAAGUACCAUGAUUCUAGUGAGUUGUUAUUUGGCUUUGGUGUGUUAUUUAAGCUUUAAAGUGUAAUGUUUUAAGUUAAUGAAUUGAGUGAAGUUCUCUUGACAAUUCACGUGGCUUUUAUUUCCAUUUGUAAACUUUGUUUUUUUUUUCUUAUUCAAGUAACAACAUAUGGUAUCAGAGCUUUCUUCUUAAGGGAUCUGUGUUUGAAUUUGUCAAGUCAUGGAAGCCGAAGCCAGUUUCUCCGCAAUUGCUCCGACGUUGUUUGACGGAAACAACUACCAGCUUUGGGCAGUACGUAUGGAGACAUACUUGGAAGCUUUAGAUCUUUGGGAAGCAGUGGAAGAAGACUAUGAAAUUCUUGCACUUCCAAACAAUCCCACCAUGGCACAGAUAAAAGCGCAUAAAGAAAAGAAGACAAAGAAAUCAAGGGCAAAGGCCUGUUUGUUUGCUGCAGUCUCAUCCACCAUAUUCACUCGCAUCAUGUCUUUGAAGUCAGCAAAAGCGAUAUGGGAUUAUCUCAAGAGCGAAUAUGAAGGAGAUGAAAGAAUUAAAGGUAUGCAAGUCCUGAAUUUGAUCAGGUAGUUUGAACUUCAAAGAAUGAAGGACUCCGAGACGAUCAAAGAUUACUGCGACAGACUUCUUAGUAUUGCAAACAAGGUGAGGCUUCUUGGAUCUGAAUUUACUGACUCAAGAAUUGUACAAAAAAUUCUUGUUACAGUACCUGAAAGAUAUGAAGCAACUAUCACUACCUUUGAAAAUACCAAGGAUUUCUCAAAGAUUUCCUUGGCAGAAUUGCUUAACGCAUUACAAGUACCAGAACAAAAAAGACUGAUGAGGGGGGAUACAACAACCGAAGGAGCUUUAGCAGCCAAACAUCAGAACAUGGCCAAAAACAAAACAAAGAAGAAGGACUUUGAAGGAAAUGGGGCAAGUACAACAUCUGCGAAUGCAAAAGAAAAGAAUGAAAAUCAGAAGAAAUCCUAUCCACCUUGCAAACAUUGCAGAAAGAAGGGUCAUCCUCCGUUUAAAUGCUGGAGAAGACCUGAUGCUAAGUGCACUAAAUGUAAUCAGAUGGGGCAUGAAGCAGUUAUCUGUAAAAAUGAAAAUCAACAUGGUGAAGAGGCAAAGACAGCUGGUCAAGAGGAAGAGGAUCACUUGUUCGACGCUACAUGUUUCUCUGGCAUCGAAUCAAGUGAGAGUUGGCUUAUUGAUAGUGGUUGUACUAACCACAUGACACAUAACAAAGAUCUAUUCAGGGAACUAAGCAACGCAAACUCGUCAAAGGUUCGAGUUGGAAAUGGCACGUACAUAGCUGUGAAAGGAAAAGGAACAGUUGCAAUCACAACCUUUUCAGGUACAAAGUUCAUUUCUGAUGUGUUGUAUGUCCCUGAAAUUGAUCAAAACUUGUUAAGUGUUGCACAACUAAUUAAAAAUGGUAAUAAAGUUGUGUUCGAAGACAAAGUUUGCUUGAUUAAAGAUGCAGAUGGAAAAGAUAUUUUCAGAGUAAAAAUGAAAGGGAAAAGCUUUGUUCUAAAUCCAUUGGAGGAGGAGCAAAAUGCUUUCCCGAUCAAAGAAAAUAUCACUGAGUUAUGGCACAAGAGGCUCGGGCAUUAUCAUCAUCAAGGGCUGCUGCAGAUGAAAUCCAAGGGGAUGGCAAAUGAUCUUCCAGAACUUGAUGACUAUAUUCAAAAUUGCAAAGCAUGUCAGUUUGGAAAGCAAAGCAGGAGACCAUUUCCCAAGGCAACAUGGAGAGCAACAAAGAAGCUGCAAUUAGUUCAUACUGAUAUUGCAGGCCCACAAAGAACGCCUUCUUUGAAUGGUAGUCUUUAUUAUGUUGUAUUCAUUGAUGAUUUCACCCGUAUGUGUUGGAUCUUUUUUUUGAAGCACAAGUCAGAGGUGGCUCAAGUUUUCUGGAACUUUAAAGUCAGAGUUGAGAACUUGAGUGGCUGUAGAAUUCAGACUCUUAGAUCAGACAAUGGCAAGGAGUANNNNNNNNNNNNNNNNNNNNNNNNNNNNNNNNNNNNNNNNNNNNNNNNNNNNNNNNNNNNNNNNNNNNNNNNNNNNNNNNNNNNNNNNNNNNNNNNNNNNNNNNNNNNNNNNNNNNNNNNNNNNNNNNNNNNNNNNNNNNNNNNNNNNNNNNNNNNNNNNNNNNNNNNNNNNNNNNNNNNNNNNNNNNNNNNNNNNNNNNNNNNNNNNNNNNNNNNNNNNNNNNNNNNNNNNNNNNNNNNNNNNNNNNNNNNNNNNNNNNNNNNNNNNNNNNNNNNNNNNNNNNNNNNNNNNNNNNNNNNNNNNNNNNNNNNNNNNNNNNNNNNNNNNNNNNNNNNNNNNNNNNNNNNNNNNNNNNNNNNNNNNNNNNNNNNNNNNNNNNNNNNNNNNNNNNNNNNNNNNNNNNNNNNNNNNNNNNNNNNNNNNNNNNNNNNNNNNNNNNNNNNNNNNNNNNNNNNNNNNNNNNNNNNNNNNNNNNNNNNNNNNNNNNNNNNNNNNNNNNNNNNNNNNNNNNNNNNNNNNNNNNNNNNNNNNNNNNNNNNNNNNNNNNNNNNNNNNNNNNNNNNNNNNNNNNNNNNNNNNNNNNNNNNNNNNNNNNNNNNNNNNNNNNNNNNNNNNNNNNNNNNNNNNNNNNNNNNNNNNNNNNNNNNNNNNNNNNNNNNNNNNNNNNNNNNNNNNNNNNNNNNNNNNNNNNNNNNNNNNNNNAGUAAAAAUGAAAGGGAAAAGCUUUGUUCUAAAUCCAUUGGAGGAGGAGCAAAAUGCUUUCCCGAUCAAAGAAAAUAUCACUGAGUUAUGGCACAAGAGGCUCGGGCAUUAUCAUCAUCAAGGGCUGCUGCAGAUGAAAUCCAAGGGGAUGGCAAAUGACCUUCCUGAACUUGAUGACUAUAUUCCAAAUUGCAAAGCAUGUCAAUUUGGAAAGCAAAGCAGGAGACCAUUUCCCAAGGCAACAUGGAGAGCAACAAAGAAGCUGCAAUUAGUUCAUACUGAUAUUGCAGGCCCACAAAGAACGCCUUCUUUGAAUGGUAGUCUUUAUUAUGUUGUAUUCAUUGAUGAUUUCACCCGUAUGUGUUGGAUCUUUUUUUUGAAGCACAAGUCAGAGGUGGCUCAAGUUUUCUGGAACUUUAAAGCUAGAGUUGAGAACGAGAGUGGCUGUAGAAUUCAGACUCUUAGAUCAGACAAUGGCAAGGAGUAUACCUCUGGAGCAUUCAAUCGCUUUUGCGAGGAGGCUGGCAUCCAACAUCAAUUAACCACUCCAUACACUCCACAACAAAAUGGAGUGAGUGAGAGACGGAACAGAUUUAUAUUGGAGAUGACACGAUGUAUGCUACAUGAGAAGAACUUGCCAAAGCAAAUUUGGGCUGAAGCUGCAAGCACUGCUGUUUUUUUGCAAAACAGACUUCCCACAAGAGCAGUGAGAGAUAAAACACCCUUUGAGGCUUGGUAUGGCUAUAAACCAUCUCUGAAAUUCCUUAGAAUAUUUGGAUGUCUGUGCUUCACUCAUGUUCCGCAGAUUAGUAGAGACAAACUAGAUAAAAGAGCACUUCCAGGCAUCUUUAUUGGCUACAGCUCCGUUGCAAAAGCUUAUAAAGUUUUCCAGCCACAAACUGGAAAAAUUAUUAUAAGCAGGGAUGUGCACUUUAUGGAAGAUGAAGAGUGGAAUUGGGAUGAUGCAAAGAAGAUGGAUUCAACCUCAAAAAAGCCAAAACUCAAGUUUCCUGUUGUGGACACAGCAGAUCAAAGCAUUGAAGAUUGGGAAAUGAAACGGUGGAUGACAGACCUAUUAGGGGCACAAGACCACUUUCAGAUGUUUACCAAAGAUGCAAUGUUGCUGUGAGUGAACCUACAAAUUAUGAAGAAGCCAAGACGGAUCAGAAUUGGGUUACGGCAAUGAAUGAGGAGUUGUUCAUGAUUGAAAAGAAUAAAACAUGGGAGUUGAUUGAUCGACCCCAAAACAUGAAGGUAAUUGGAGUCAAGUGGGUGUACAAAACCAAGCUUAAUGCUGAUGGCUCAAUCAACAAAUAUAAAGCUAGGCUCGUGGUCAAAGGAUUUGCUCAAGUACCUAGCGUGGAUUACUCAGAUACCUUCGCACCAGUCGCUAGACUCGACAUCAUCAGGCUGUUACUAGCUGUUGCAGCACAAAAAAAUUGGAGGGUGUACCAGUUAGAUGUCAAGUCAACGUUCUUGAAUGGUUUCCUGCAAGAGGAGAUUUAUGUAGAGCAACCGGAAGGCUAUGUAAAGGAAGGAGAAGAAGACAAAGUGUAUCUUCUUAAAAAAGCUCUUUACGGCUUGAAGCAAGCUCCAAGAGCUUGGUACAGCAGGAUUGAUGAAUACUUGCGAAACUUGGGAUUUGUUAGAAGCUUAUCUGAAUCAACAUUAUAUGUCAAGCACAUUGGUGCUGACAUUCUUAUCAUCUCAUUAGAUGUGGAUGAUCUGCUCGUGACAGGAAAUAAAAAGUGUGUUGUGGAGGAGUUUAAGCAAGAAAUGAUGGAGAUUUUUGAGAUGACAGAUCUCGGAUUAAUGGCGUUCUUUCUUGGAAUGGAAAUUAAACAAAAUGAAAAUGAAGUCUUCAUCUGUCAGAAGAAAUAUGCCAGGGAAAUUCUGAAAAAGUUUAAACUUGAAGAAUGCAAAGAAAUGAGCACUCCAAUGAACUCAAAGGAGAAGCUCUGUAAAGAAGAUGGAACAGAGAAGGUUGAUCAGGCAUAUUUCAGAAGCUUAAUUGGUUGCUUGAUGUAUCUCACAGCAACUCGACCUGACAUUUUGAAUGCUGUAAGCAUUUUGUCUCGGUUUAUGCACUGUGCUAGUGAAUGGCAUCUCAAAGCUGCAAAGAGGGUGCUUAGAUAUGUGAAGGGCACAUGUAAUUUUGGCAUUAAAUUUACAAGGAGCAAAGAGUUCAAAUUGUUUGGUUACUCAGAUAACGAUUAGGGAGGUUCCAUUGAUGAUAUGAAAAGCACUUCAGGCUACUGUUUCACACUUGGUUCUGGUGUUUUCUCUUGGAGCUCGAAAAAACAAGAAAUCGUAGCUCAAUCCACUGCUGAAGCAAAAUUUGUUGCUGCAACGGCUGCUGUCAAUCAAGCUUUAUGGCUGAGGAAGAUUUUAAUUGAUCUUAACUUGGAGCAUGAGGAAAGUACAGAGAUUCUAGUUGACAACCAAGCUGCUAUUGCAAUCUCUCAAAAUCCUGUGUUUCACGGGAAAACUAAGCACUUUAAUAUUAAAUUAUUCUUCUUAAGAGAAGUGCACAAAAAUGGAGUUGUUAGUCUUGUCUACUGCAAAACAGAAGAUCAGGUUGCAGAUGUUUUCACCAAGCCACUGCUGGUUAGCAAGUUUGAGUUUUUCAGAACAAAACUUGGUGUUUGCAGCUCCUAAAGCAAGGAGGAGUGUUAGAAGAUGUGUUUAGGACUGCUGAUGUGGAGUCAUAGAAGUUGCUUCUGUUGAAUGUUUCAAACUUUUCUUAUUUUUCUGGUGUUGGUUAUUUAUUUUGUUGAUUCUUGCUGUGAUCGUGGCACAAUCUUUGGACCAUGAUUCUAGUGGGUUGUUAUUUGGCUUUGGUGUGUUAUUUAAGCUUUAAAGUGUAAUGUUUUCAGUUAACGAAUUGAGUGAAGUUCUCUUGACAAUUCACAUGGCUUUCAUUUCCAUUUGUAAACUUUGUUUUCUUUUCUUAUUCAAGUAACAACAAAGUGGAUAUUACAGUUAGAAAAUUAACUUUAAAAAUAGAAAGAAAAUUGAAUUGAAUUUUGUUGGUACAUUGCCAGAGUUUAGAUUGACAUCUCCACUUUGGUUUGAAUUAAUGUGAGCUACGAAAUUAGAAUUAAUCAGAGCCAAUCUUGAUUUUAUUCAAGUGCCAGUUUGGUCUCAGCUGGUAACGUUGAAGUUAUAUAUAGCGGUGACUUGGACACUUCCAUUUAUGGAAGUGGUUUUCCUCGUGUAUGUGACCAUAAACCAGAAUCCGUGGAUGCUAAUGUAUGGAAUGAAUAUUGUAAUAGCCCAUGGAAUCUAGAUAACCUAAUAGGGUUGGAAGGUUCAAUACUUUGAAUGGUUCAUCAUAACAUUACUAGGGUUCUAGUGCCUUGGCUUUAUCCUGGCAUGUUGCUCUCACCUUCUUGAUGGCAUUUUAAAGAUCACUGUUUUCACUGAAUGAAUUAUUAUCACUAGUAUGCAUCCAUGCUGAUUUAUCCCUGGUGUUUUUUUUUUGGUAGUGUUCUCUUCGAGCAAACACAUUAUUGGUCCCUUUUAUUUUCCCUUCCAGUUUUUCAUCUUAUGAACUCCUUAUUAAUUUUUUAAAUGAAUUAAUGCAUUGAAAUGAUUACUUUAGCAGACUCUACCACCACCGACUUGUAAAGAAAGUUGAUACUCGGUAGAUCGAGAUGAGUUGUCCUUUUAAUACUUAUUGGUAUUGGGAGUUCUAUUUCUCUUUAGAAGGAGAAAAUAUAGAAUAUAUCAGAGGUAUCAUGUCAGCCAUACAAUAAAUAAAUAAUAUUAUAAUAUUUGUGUGUUUAUUUUAAAAAAAAUCAUCGUGCAAGUAGUAAUUACAUUAAAUUCAAUUACACGUGUUAUACAUGCAUUAAUUGGUUGUAAUACAUCAGAUGUAUUCUAUAAUUUCUCAUUUACAAGGCGCUUCAAUUGCUCAUUAAUCAUCGUGGUUUUUUUAUUUUGUUUUUUUUUUAAUUUCAUUUAAACAUCCAAAACUGAAUAAGUAGAAUGGAUUUUCGAUUUCUCAUUUUCUCAUACUUCUGGUGGCUCAGCGUGGUACAUACCUCUUUCAUGGUUUGCAAUGUACUGCUAGCUAAAAUUUUAAAUUGCUUUGGUAGAAAGUUGAUUAUCACUGCUUCUCUUAUGGCAGAGGGGGGAUUCCAAAAUGUUGGUACAGCGUCCCUAGAAGUGAAGCUGGUGCUUUUGAGAAGGUAGUUCUUCAUAUUAGAAUUAAUCUUUUCGGCUGCCUUUGCUUUUUUUCUUUUUUAUUAUUCAGGUUCUUUAUUCCUCCCUAAUUUGACAGAAGAGGAGUAUUCUAUGUGUUGGCUGAGCUUAUAUACUUCUAGUGAUUUGUGAUUAUUCUUUUUCUGUGAUGAUCUCAUGUUGACUUUUGGCUGCCUUCUAUCAUGCACAUGGGUUUCAUUUGCUUUCUUGUUUUUUCAUUUAAUAGACUGUGCAGUUUGAGUUGGUGCCUUUUGUGACCUUGUUGGCUCGAGGGCUUUGCCCAUUUUCUUGCUGUGUUUAAUGUAUUUUGUGGCAAAUGUGAACUUAUGAUUUGGGAAUUUAUAUCUUGAAUGAAUGUAAAUUUUAAAAAUACUAAAAAAAUUGUGAGGUGUUAGUGUGAAAAUUUUAUAUCAUUGAGAUUGUUGUGCUGAGGAGUUGUUGCUUUUUGCAGGCAUUGCUGAUCACUUUUUGUAUUUCUAGAUUUGAGCUUCUGGGUUCAUCUAGUUGCUGGACAUAAUUCUAGGUGUUGAUGUCAUUGAUCGAUUGCUAGGUGGACUGUGAUUCAAGGAACAUAAUUUAAUGGACAUGAUUUGCUUUAUUAAUUUCUAUUUUUUUUCAGUUUCUGGAUUGAUAAGUUAAGUAGUUAUUAUUUAGCUGCUGAUACUGUAUGAUAAGAUGUAUACUUAUCAUGACAUGAUAGGAUAUUUGGAUCCUAAUGUUUAUUGUCAAUUACAGAUGUGUUAGUGUUACAAUUGUUAUUGCCGAAUUUCAGUUCUUUUGAGCACAUAUAUAUAUAGCCAAAAUUAAUCAUAACGAAAUUGGCGCCAAAUUUUUUUAAAUUCCAGCCAAAUUAAAUAAUAAUAUCAAUAAUUGCCACCAAAAAAUUAAAAUUAAUUUCAAUUCCUGCCAAAUUUUUUUAAAAAUAAAAAAUUCAAUUGCGAACAUAUAAUUUAAAUAGCCCGCCAAACUAAAUAUUUGUUAUAUAAAUAAUUCAAUAUCUAUUUAAAUAUUAAUUUUUAAUUUUAUAUGACAGAUGGUAGUCAUGCGUGGACAAUAUUAUGAUCAAUUACUUAUCAUAUGUGCAUGAUAAGUUCAUGAUAGUUAAUACAAUAUAAAAUUUAUGACACGCAGAAAUCGUUAUUUCAAAAUUUCUUGACACAAGUUUCAAUGAUGAUUCGGCAACGGUCAUCUAAUAAGGUGCAUGAUGGUCAAAAGCCGUCAUUAUUAAGUUUUUUUUUUUUUGGUAGUGCACACACAAUAUAUUUAAGUUUACUUUAUUAAGUUUAUCAAUGAAAAAACCACAAAAAAAAAAACCAAUGCAUGAAAGAAGUUUAAUAAAGACAAUUUCUUUUCAAAACAAUUGCUAUUGUUUAUGAAAAAUUAAUUAGAAAAACUUAGUGUAAAAUUGUAUUUUUCUUAAUACAAAAAGAGUGAACAAAAUAAAGUAUAUGCGACAAACUGAAAAUAAUAACAAAAAUAACAUAUGUCAAAAUGUUAAUUAGUUAGAGGCUUUUGCUAGCACUACUUAAAAUCUCGCUCUCCGUCACACUUAAGGGUGCGUUUGGUAUCGUUUUUUAAAUGGUGUUUUUGAAUUUCUUUUAUAGAAUAAGAAUGAUUACUUUUUGGUGAAAAUGAAAACAUGUUUGAUAGCUUGUUUUAAGAACAGUACUUAGAAAUAAAAAAAAGGUGAAAAAGUGUUUGGUUGUUUUUCUAGAAAAAUGAAGACAUGAAAAGAGGGUAGAGAAUUAUUUAAUGAAGUUUUUUUUUUCAUAAUUGCAUUAUUUAAUGAAACCUUUACGAAAGAAUAAUAUAAUACAAUGAAUAUAAAUAUAUAUUUUAUAUCAUUAAAUAAUUUAUCUAUUUAGUUAUUAUAUUAUGAAACUAUAAUAUAUCAUUAUGAAUGCAUAUAGGUACAUAGUUAUUUUAAUAAUUUCUUAAAAUUUUUUAAUUAUGCAAAUAAAUUUUAGUUUUAAGAUAAUAUCGAUUGAGAAAAUCUUUAAUUACUUUAUAAUUUCCUUAUUUUUAUUUUUAUUACUUGUGAAGAUGUAACUUUUUUAUUGAUAUAUUUUGUUAUCAUUUUUAAAUAACUGCAUAAAUAUUUUACGUACUAUUAUUAAGUGAGAUCAAUGAUUAUAUUGUAAGGUAUAGAAUAAAUUAUUGUUACAGUUGUUAAACAUUUGUUAUAAUAGUUUAUUUAUUAAAUUAUUUCUUUAUUUAUUGAUCCACGUAAUUUAUUAUACAAUGUUAUAAGAUCCAAAUAGUGGGGCCCUUAACAGGGAGCAAAAGUAAAACAAAAUGGGGAAUGUUGUCUUAUUUUCUUUGUAAGCAUUAGAAAAUGAAUUUUUUUUGUUUCCAAUCAUUGCAGAAUUUUCCACCAAAAUGAACCUACUAAACAAGUUUUCUACAUUUUCCACAAUAGAGUGAAACUGGUACCCAACCACCCUUACAUUUCCGCCCUAUUGUACUAUAAUGGGCCACGGUACAUGGAUCUAUAUCUUCACAUACACGAGCAGUUUUAGUGAUAUUAUUAAUAGAUCAUCACGAGCAUGGCUAUUACUUGUAUGUUAUAUAUGUUUAAUUUCCUCCAUAAUCUCAUAAUUAAAUUUAGCGUUUGGAAGGAGAUAUUCAAUAAGAUAAGAUUUUUUUUUUCUUUUUUUCUUUCUUUCUUUGAACUUUUUGUGCUAGGCUUUUAUUCAUUUCCUUUUUACUCUUAUUUUUAUAUGCUAGAGAUUCAUUGUUAUAAUAUGUUACAUGACUUGCACAAGAAAUAACAACCAACAGUUCACACAUUAAGCGUGUAAUGGAAUAUAACCAACAAUUCAUAUUAUUGUCGUUGUCGUUGCAUUUCAGAUUAUUCUUUAGUUAAUAUGUUUCUAAAAUAUUUAUCUUAUGAAUGUUAAACAAUAAUGAAAUCUAUCCGGUCAUAGUAAUAAAAUAUAUGAAUUUUCACCCACAUAAAAUAUAUUUAUGUGUAUUUUAUUGAGUUCAUAAAAAAUGAAAAAACACGUAAUGCCUGAAAGAAUUUUAAUAAAGACAAUUUCUUUUCAAAACAAUUACUAUUGUUAUGAAAAAUUAAUUGGGAAAACUUAGUAUAAAAUUUUAUUCUUCUAAAUACAAUAACAGUGAACAAACCAAAUUACACGUGACAAACUAAAGAUGAUAACACAAAUAACAUUCGUCAACGUGUUAAAGUUGCCGGAGGCUUCCGCUAGUACCACCUAAAAUCUCGCUCUUUGCUGCACUUACAUUUUGGCAAAGACAUGUUUUUUUUUUAAAAAAAAAAAACAAUUUUAUUGGUUUGAAAAAUUAAUUGAGAAAAUUUAAUAUAAAAUUUUAUUUAUCUUAAUACUAUACACAAUCUCUUUUUUAUUUUCGAUAUUUGACGAAUCUAAACAGAAAUUGAUCCCUAAGAUGGUAUCCAAUAAGUUAAUCCCUCUAUGUACCUAAUCGGUUUUAUGCUGCGGCGAGCACAGUGAAUUCUAACCCACUCAUGAGCAACAAGGGAAAAAAAAAAUGGAUGUAUUAUCCAUUUUGUACGGCUUGUACGGCUAAUAGUAAUAUUAUAUACACAUGUUUAUAUGUGGGUGUAGCGAUUUGCAUUGUUACAGUUCUUUACUAGUAAGAUUCUAUCAAACAUAGACAUCCAAGAAGAGGGGAAUUGACAGGAGGAGAUUAGGCUGGGCCUCGAGGAUUUGAUAUUUGAUCAUGCUUUGAAAAACUAUGCUGAGAAAGCCAGCUCCUGAAAAACCAUCCCUCUGUGCUCAAAAUUUCUGAAUUCAUCAAAGCUCGCACAACCUGGACUCAGAACAAUAGCAUCGCCUGCAAAGGACGAUAAAAUUCAUAUUAGCAGGCAUCAGCAAACUCGGCUGACAAUCUGAUUUGCAGUUGUAUCCACCAGUAUCAGAAGCAACAAACCAUUUGUUGCCAUCCUCCUUGCAUGGUUAACGGCAUCCUUCAUAUUUGCGACCGCAAAGCAGGGAAUGCUAAGACCAUUAUUUACCAAUGUCUUCCAAAUCAGCACUCCUGAAUAUCCAAACUUGGGGAAAUUCAUUAUAGAUAUAUUAGUCUUUUUUCAUGUAAUUAGUGAUGGUCCACACAAAAAGAAAAAGGAAAAAGGCAGUGAGAACUCUUUCUUGGGAAAUUGAAUCACAAUUUUGAGAAAUAACAGAGCACAUACAGUGAUUACACAUCUAUGAUGAUUCAGCGGUUCAAUCAAUUUUUCAAAACCAUUCGAUUCCUGCCCAUUUAAAACCUACAAAAUAUGAAAUUGAUCAACUAGAAGCAAUCCAAUACUUAUCAUGGUCUUUAUCAGAAGCCUUUUAGAAACACAUGGAAUAGGAAUCAAAUCUGAAGCAACAAAGGAUAAGUCACACCAAAGCUAAACAAUUGGCAAGCUAAAUCACACAGACUCAGUGGUCUCAUGGACUUUCACAAUGCAUGCUUCUUUCUUUUGAUAGCUAAAAUCAGAGAAAAUAGGACUGGACGUGCUACAGGAUUUGCACAAAAAGUAAAUUCACAGUAUAGUGCCUCCUAAACUAAGAUUAUCUCAGUGUAAUCAGCAGGCAUCCGGCGUGCAACACUUUAACUAAAAACAAUAAACAAUACUUUCAUAAACCAAAUUGUAGAUAUCUUUCAAUUGUGAGACACAAAUUGCAUUGACAUUAACAUAUACAGCAUCACUCCUGUCCAACAUUAUAGUCAAGGAUGUGACAGUUAGACCAUCAUUUAACUUCUCCAAAUGUAGUUUUACAAUUUUUUUAUGAUAGUGCCUUUAUUAUUUUGUUGCAAGUGCAAACCAAAGGUAACCAAGCCAUCAUGAAAAUGAAAAGGAUCGAGAAAUCAGGAUUGUAAUCUAACCUUUGCUUGGCCACCAAGUAGAAUGACACACUUGUGUCCCUUCAGAUCCAUUAGUCCUGUACAUGUCGCUUCAAGAUUUGUUGCCUUGCUGUCAUCCACCCACGUCACCCCUUGGAUAUCCCUGUGCACUGCAUAACAAUGCUUAGCUAGUCAAAAGUCAAGAUAAUAUCUACAGUUAGAAAAUGUGGAAAUAUGUGUUAAGAAAACAAUAGGUCUGCUCAGUUUCAAUAAUCAGCCAGAUAAAUCAAGCUCACAAAAUAAAUGGUAGAAAUCUUCAUCUGUUGCAAGGAUAUUACUUACUGUUUAUCAGAACAUGUAAAUGAUUCAAGUUGUGAAGUGCUUAAUAGAUUCUUAUGCUCUCUUUGUCAAGGUUAAAAAUUUCAAAAAUAUCAUCUCAAUAACCUCUACUGAAAACAUCAGAACAAAAUCUACUUGUCUGAACGUUUAUACAAUAGUAUUAGUUGCUUAAAGAGCCCCAUCAGCACUUAGUAUUCCAUGGAUCAUCAGCAUCCACUGUCUUUGGACUCUGAAGAGUGAAGAACCAAAUCAUUGGUAUCCACGGAAUGUUCCCGUUAGCAGUUACUCUAAUAACUUGAGGGAUACAAUAACCAUUUCCAACAAGGCAUCCUCUGAAACCAAAUUAUAUAAAAACAGAAGUUACUUGAUUUAUACAAUCAAGAAAUCAAGCCUGUUACUUGAUAACAAUUGUCCAUAACAGGUACUCCUUUUUGACAUAAGAAUACUAUUUGAAGCAAUGUCUUUUUUUUUUUUUUUUUGAUAACCCAAAAUCCCGCACCAACCCUAGGGGGUCAGUUGGGCGCCCCAUGACACAUGAGACAACGAAGGGUGGAAUUUUUAAACUCACCAGAAGGAUCAAACCCAGGACCUCGAUACAUCUAAAGCACCAGAUCCCAAGCCCUCAACCAGCUAGGCUGCACAUGAAUGGGAUACGAUCUUAAGUUUUUGAGAGGGAAUCUAUGUCAACUUACCAAUUUGCAUACGGUGAGGCGGUGUCCUUAAUAUUUCAAUUGUUGAAUUGAGUGCUUCCACAUCAACUCCAAUAUCCAGUCCAAGAACAGAUAAUGCAGCCACUGCAGCAUUAUGAUAAUUGUGUCUUCCCAUAACCUUCAUGUUAUGCAACUGUAGUUGAGAAACAACUCCAACGGCAGGAACUUCAAAGCUGGCUGUCUUUGCCUCCGUAUCAAUCUUUUUCAAAUAUAAAACUAAUAUCAAUACCAUAUGUGAUGUUCAAUGAAAAAAUAAGAAAGUAUGAAGGGCAUACAAAACCAAGUGCAACUUUAACUAGAUUAUAAACAUCAACGCAUAAAUUCAGAGGCGUUAUAAUUAAAAUCCCAAACAAAUGAUGCAGCACUUCUAUAAACUAUUGCUAAAUGUUUCUUCACCAAUUAUUUUGUGUCAACUGAUUCUUAGCCUCAUCUUGGAGACUUCCAAAAUUUUUUUCUCUAAAAUGCCAACAUGAAUAAAGGGGUGGGGUGGUAGCUAGCCUUAGUAGCCCCAGACUACUAGAGAUUAAUUGAUAUUCCUAAUCCCACCCCAUGCAUAUCCUAACCGGAUCCAACAUGAAUUCAUCCCCUGAUAUAGUGGAAACAGCUGUCCUAGACCAAGGGCACUAAUAGAGUAUUGGUACUAAAUGUUUUAACUUUUCUCAACAAACAUAUUGAAAAAUUGCUUCUUACUUUCACACCAGGAAAGGCCCCUAUCCAAGCGAGAUUAAACCGAUGUCCUUUAAUUGCUUCAUUUAAAUGCUGGUUUCCUAGUAGAAAAUAUAGGAUAAGACGUUAAAAAGACAUAACAACCUCAAGCUGUAACAACCAAGCCCUAACUAGAAUAAACUACAAAAUAUGAGGGGGAAAAUUAGUGAGACCUGUUCACAAAGUUCGAAUCACUUUUCUUACAUAAGGCUUCAAUUCAUGUUAUAGAUUGCACCAUUAUUCGGAAAUUUAUUUUUCUGCAAAAGCAGAUAAGGUUCAUGCUUUCCGUGGACCUUAUAGAACUUAGAAAGCACAUAAAAAGUAACUAAGUAGAUUUUGAACAACUUCUGAGCCACAAUAGCAUAAGUUAAUCACUCCAUCAUAGUGUUAACCUGACAUUCCAACCUGACAUUUCAAGCCUCUAAUAGAGGUCUGCAAUGAAACCCCCCAGAUAUAACCAAGCAUAAACUCGUCGACCAUUUUUAAAUGCAUUCAUAAUGCUUAAUUAAAAUAGCCAUUUCGACCUUUUUUUUUCCUAAUUCUUUUAGCAUUUUUUAAUAAGCAUCCGUCAGUUACAUAAGUUGUCAUUCAAGUGAUCUCUUUAAGGAUCCUGUGUGUUUCUUCUGGAUUAGAGAAUACGGACUUACAUAGCUCUGUCAAUUCAAAGUUUAUCAGCAUCUGAAAGUAUAUUAUCUGAUUACACUUGUGACAGAUUACCACACCAAAGCUCUUUUAUUGAAAUUCUCAAUUAUUUUCAACAAUCAUGAAGGAAGUCAACUGCGACAAUGAUAUCUUAAACAAAACACAUGGGUCAUUGCAACAGAUAUCAAUUAUUAUGUGAAGCUCAAUCAUUUAGAAGAAAAAUAUCCAACUUACCGAAAGGAAGAAGUCCCAGCUUGGUGUUCACCAUGUGGGAAAAUAAGUGGCACUUAGUGAGCGCAUAAUUCUUCAUUGUCUUGUGCCGCUCCAAAUGAUCGGGGGUAAGGUUCAAUACCACUGAAACCUGCAAAGAUUCCAACGAGGUUACCAGAUAGAGAUUGCCUACAUAUACGCACUGACAGUUUUAGAUCGAGCUGUUCAUGCCGACCUACCGUAGGGCAGAAGUAUUUGUUGGGAAUUUCCAUUUGAUAACUACUAACUUCCACUACUGCAACCUGAAAAACACUUUGACAUGAGUUUGCUUAUUUGUUGAAAGGACAAAGGGAAUAGAUAUGUUGAAUGGAAAGUGAUCAUCAACCAGAAAAUACUACUCGCCUGAAACUUUGGUUUUGAAGAAGGCAAUGCAAUGCAAUGGAAAGCAGCCUCUGAUAGAGGAUUUCCCAGGUUCCCUCCCACAAACGCCUCAAUUCCAAGAUGAUUGAGCAUCUGUAUCCAAAUAAUUUGAGAAACAAAAUUAUUAGAAAUAAUGCUGCCAAAGUAAUUUGAAAACAUGUAGAGUAUGGAAGUAUACUGAAGUGAUCCUUGUAAUUAUCACUAUUAGUAAAAAUACAAGACAUAUAAACGGUAGCAUUUUUUUAUAACAUAAAAAUGGAGAGACCUGCCCAACAAAGGUGACAACAGUUGAUUUUCCAUUAGUUCCAGUAACUGCUAAGAUCUUAAUGCUUCUUGGAAUGACUUGAGCUGCAAAAUCCAACUCAGACAUCACCCGUUUCCCCUGAAUUUUCAUGACACAGAAAAAUUAAUAAAACCUUUUUUCAAUAAAGAAAUCAACAGAUGCAGGACAGGAAGCUUGCAACUAGUCCCUAAGGGGAGUCUGCAAGUUAACUGGCUGACGUCGACAAAUCCAAAAGCAACAGUCCAACUGCUCACUAUCCUAAAUUAUGUGCUUUUUGGAUGCAUCAAUCGUGAGUGUUCAUGAUUUAAUUAUACUAUUCUUCCCAAGUUAAAUCUCACUUUUUAUCCUAAGUUAUAUGGCAACAGAUUUGGCACUUUCUAUAUUCAACGUAAUAAACCAAUAAAGACGUUGCCCUGCCUCUUGCAUUUCUCAGGAGAAACAAAGCCUUAUAAAGUAAAUAGAUAUACUUACAGACUGCAACAAACAAGCAAGACCGUAGCUUUCAACUGAAACUCCAGGAGAAACAACCACAACAUCCACAUCCUUUAGUAGCUCUCCAUCAAAGUCACCAAGAAUUGUUCUUAAACUUAAACCAUCAUUGUACUUCUCAAAAAGCGAAUCUUUCUGCAAUGGAAUGGAACCCACUAAGCGUUUAAGCUAUUUGAUUAAAUAUUACAAUAUCACUAACUGACUAACAAGUACCGAGAAAAUAGGAAGAGUGUAAAUGCCCAUUACCUCUAGAUGGCCCAGAUUCUGAUUCUGGUCAAUGGCAAGAACUGAAGCACCUCUUGCAAGAGCAAGCCUUGCCGCGGCUCUGCCGGAUUUCCCCAAACCAAUUACAGCAACCGAUUGGCCUUGAAGGUCCUGUUUGAGACCGCAAGAUUUGAUGGUUCUGGGUUUCGUAUUCUUGGCUGAGUGAAUUGGUUUCAGAGUUACAGUUUCGUGUUUAUAAUAGUUACAAGCAUGCAGCUUCAUGCUGUGUGCAUUUGUAAGUUAAUGCACUGCAAAGCUAGACAAGUUUUCUAAUUUCUAAUGCAUCCGUUUGUGUGUGGGAAUUGUGAAGACGAAGCUCGAUGACCUUGGACCCUGACCAUAAUCGUGGGCCUUAUGGGCUUCGCAUCACAUGGGCCAUUAGCGCUUUCCAGUUACAGCAAAGAAAAAAGUUAUUUUACGAAAAUGACCUAAAGAUAGGAUCAUACAAAAAUGGCCUAACUUAAAAUUUACCUGCUUUUGUAGUCAAAGAGGCAACGAAUGGCAUUUUGGACAAUAAAAUAACCCUUAAGUAUGCUGAUCAGGUAGACGUGAUUUUUUUUUUUUAAAUAUUAAUUAUAUAUCAGACUACUGAUAUUACAUCAAAUAUUUAUACAACGCUACUAUAUGUGCUGAACUUAAUCUCGAAUUUACUAAAACGCUGCGUUUUAAAACAGUCGCUUUUCCUUUUUAAUUGCAGUUGCGCAGCACGUGUGCGUGAGUUUUAAAACGAUCACUUAAACCGAACGACGUCGCUUCUUCAAUUCAUUGCAGCUGUGUAGUGCCGGCUCUACAAAACGGCAACUGGUUCGUGAAAGUGUUGAACCUCUGCAUUACAAAACCCGUAAGUAUUUAUUGUUCUUAUAUUAAUUUGUUAAAUUGUUUCAUUUUAAUUUAUGAAUCUUGAUCUAGCAAACCGUGAGCAUUUGAAUGUCAAUUCCAGCAGCAGCAACACUAAUAGCAGCAACAAUUCCAGCAGCAAGACUUCUUGUUGUAUUCCAGCCAGUAAACAAUUUCACACACACACAUAUCAGCAGCAACAAGUGCCCAAAAUAAUAAAAAAACAAUUAGGAGUUCACACAUACAAAUACAAAAAAAAAAAAUUGCAGCAACAAUUCGAGCACCAACUCCAGCACCAGUAACACUUCCAGCAAAAAAAAUUCCAGCAGCAACAACUCCAGCAUCAAUUCCAGCACCAAUAACGCUUCCAGCAAAAAAAAUUCCAACAACAACAACCUGGCCAAGGGGAGCCGUGUGGCGCUUUGUGAGUGGAUGAGGAGGGAGAGAAGUUGACCCGGUUUGACCCGCAAACCCGACCUGACCCGCAAAUGUGACCCGGUUGGAUUUCACGAUCCCGGCCACUCUACCGGCCGAUCAAGGUAUUGAUCUGAAGCUUGGAAGUCGGCCGUCGUUUCCUUGCCAUCCUUGUCGCCGAAAACCAACAGGAACGCCGGCAAUUUAGCUCGAAAGAACCGCGGCUCCAACCACCUCCAUCGUCGUCGAUUUCAUCGGAGUUUGGACGCACCACCACGUGAGUUCUACUCCCUCGAUCGCGUGAUGGCGGUGGUCCGUCGUCUGUGGGCUUGUCCGUCGUCUGUGCUGGCUGUUCGCAUGACCGUUGGGUGAUU
rnacentral:lncRNA from 1 species